rnacentral:lncRNA from 1 species
GAAAUACUUGGGGAAUGUUUCAUCUUGAUAAUCAUGAAUGGAUGUGGCAACGAAAUUUUAUUUCCUUUUUUUAAAUUAAUGGGAAAAGUAACUGGAAGUUUGGAUUUGAUAUGAGAAGGAGAAGUGAUGAACCACAUUAUCCGUGAUAUUCAGAAUGGAGAAGAAUGGCAUCUCUCUUUUCUUUUUCGAUUUUUUUUUUUUUUUUUGUAUCUCAUAGUGAUUUGGUGAUCCUUUUUGGCUACAACUGGUGCUUCUGCAUUGGGAAUAAUCAAUGAGAAGAACACCUGUGUUGUAAUUUCACAUUGUCUGAACUGUGGGUGAUGGUUUGAUUUUUAAUUAAUCAGAGUUGAGCAUGCCUUAUAAAGCUAAGGCGAGGAUGAAAUUGCAUGGAUGCUUAAAGUUGUUUCCUUUAAGGUGGGAGAAUUUUGACAGUUAUAGUGGCAAAAUCCCAUCUUAUUUUUUACAUAAUUGUGGAGUCUGCUUUGGAUGGAAUUUAAAUUAGAUAACUUGGGAGUUCAGUUUGGAAGGGAUUUAAAUUGGAUGUCUUAGGGAAUAUCUUGGAUUGUUAUAUUGUUUUAGUGAAAAAUAAUACUAUGAGCUUAAGAAGCAGAACUUAACAGUUAACUGUUUAAAGUAAAGUGAUGUCAUAUGUUAUCACUUUCAAGAUUUUGAGUGUCAGAUCAUUAACUUCUGGUGAGUAGUAUGCAUUCAUUAUUCAUUCAAAAGCAGAUUCCAUUAAAGUGGAAAGGAUAUUAGGAGGCAUGUUGAUGCAAUUUACGUGGUGUGCAUGAAAAAUAUUUGUCGGCUUGUGAUCAUGGUGGUGCAUACAGUUAGUGGGACAGAAUGUUGCUUUCUUUGCACAUCAAAUUAGCGGUUACAAUUUCAAAGGUUGUUAUGCUGCAUCUUGCUCAUUGUUUACAUUAAUUUUGCAAUCAUCUAGCAGUAUCAUAUAACUGCUUGAAGGUGUCAAAGACUCUAUACUUAUCUUGGAAUUAAAAAGAAAGGUAUUAUACAAUAGUGCUGCACAUGUAUUUGUUGAUGGGAAUGGGAACUAUUUUGUUAGAGAUGAUUGUGCUUUAUACUUCAUGGCAGGUUUUCUUUUUCAUCACCAAUCAGUUUCUAUGUAACAGUGUUGUUCCUAUAGGAAUUUUUUUUCUAAGAAUGAGAAUUUCUAUUAGAGCAGAAAGCAAAUUUAAGAAGCCAAAAGUCACAAAGAAAUUAAAGAAUCCACUUAGAGGGAUAAAAGAGGCCCAAAGCAAUAGUCUCUCUUAACUGGUGGAUUCACUUCAGAUGAGUUUUCUAUAAUUUUCUGGAGCAGCAGCAGGAUAAUGAAGGGCAUUGACCCUAAACCCUAAACCUAAUAUUUUGUUGUUUUUACUUUUCAGGUACUUCAUUGUUUGAGGACAAUGGGAUGCACAGCUGAAGAUCCAAUGGCUGGUGGAAAAGAAAACGAAAUAGAGAUAAAAAUAAAGACAUUGGAUUCCCAAACUUACACAAUGCGUGUAAAUAAGCAGGUACCUAGCUUUGUACUUUUUAAUUAUGUUACUUGCUACAAUCACUUCAUGUUUUAUUUUUUCUUGGGGCUGUUACAAUAUAAAAGUUUAUUCUUUUCUUAGUUGGUUGUCAAUUUGUCAUCUUUUUAAGGGCACUCUUAGAUUCUUUAUACUCAAUAUUUCCUUCAUCGUCUUUUAAACUUUAAAUUGCAGUUUUGCAUAUUUGUAUGGUUACAUUUCUGUCAGCUUUCAGUAGCUUAAAAAUGCUGUCUUACUGAAAGUAGUAUAAGUUUGUCGCUGAAAGAAGUUACAGCCUACAAGUAUAUAUGACAGCCUUUUUUGACAUCCAGUCAAUAGCUUCUUUGCCAUGAUAGAUUCAUAUCUUAGGAUUGUAUAGCCUGUGUGUACAUGUUUGCUGGUAGUAACUUGCAUAUCAGAGUUUUUCAUGUAUGAGUGCAUAUUUGGUUUUACCAUUGUUCUUGAUGUCUUGCAGGUACCAGUGCCUGAUUUAAAACAACAGAUUGCUACAGUUACAGGUGUCUUAUCAGACCAACAACGUCUCAUAUGCCGCGGAAAAGUUCUAAAGGAUGAUCAACGCCUCUGCGCCUAUCGUAUCCUUUUUGUUAAUUUCUCUUGCUCUUUCUUUUUCUUUUUGCUGUGUCUCUGUUCUCAUUCUCUUCCUGGUAAUUACUAUCAACUUCCACUUUAUGGUUUCCAAAUGAUUGUUGUGGUACUCAUAAUUUUGAAACAAAUGAAUUUUAUACACUUACUAUAUUUGAAUUUGCUGGUUAUUGCCAUUUUCAGGCUAUGAGCACAAGAGUUAAAAAUAAAUAAAUAAUAAAAAUAAAGACCAUUAUUUUAAAAAGCUGGAAAGCAAUAAUAUCUGCAAUUUGUGAGUACAAAAGCAUAAGAAAACCUUUGUCUUCCACUCCUCAUUAAUGUCAUCUUAUUUCUGCACCUUUUGACAUAUAUACACGCCCAUGGUAACUUUUGUGUAUUUGCACCUUCUGGUGUUUUUUGGUUGCUUUGUAUAUGUUGUAUAUACUUUUUAAAAUCUCUUUUUGAUGAGUAAAGACUUAAUAUCAUGUGUACUUUUUAAAAUUAAUACAAUCUUCUUUUACGUAUCAAAAAAAAAAAAAAAAGGUACUAUAUCACAUUAAAACAUUGCCUCUCUAUAUGCAUUUUUUAUUUCUCAAUGCAAAGCAAAGAAUAUUUCACUUCAAUGUUCUUUAGCUUAUGAAUCUGUCUUUGUGUGUUUAUUUGGAUGAGUAAAGACUUAAUAUCAUGUGUACUUUUUAAAAUUAAUACAAUCUUCUUUUACGUAUCAAAAAAAAAAAAAAAGGUACCAUAAUCACAUUAAAACAUUGCCUCUCUAUAUGCAUUUUUUAUUUCUCAAUGCAAAGCAAAGAAUAUUUCACUUCAAUGUUCUUUAGCUUAUGAAUCUGUCUUUGUGUGUUUGUUUGGCUCCAUGUUUACUAAUUUUUAUGUUAAACAUUGUAAUGAUAAAAUACAUGACAUUUUACCUCCACGUGAAUUACAUUAUAUAUUCCAUUAUGCCGCCAAUCCACAUAACACUUUUCCACAAUGUUGUUAACUGAAAUUCCAAUUUUAGCCCCAAGAAUUAUUUUUUACCUCCAAUCUCUCUUGUGAUCUUGCUAGCUUGGAUGUGAAGUUGCAAAUGCAAUUUGGUUUAAAGGGGAGGGAGGAAGAAUAGAAGAAAUAUCCAAAAUAUGCCUCGACUUGAUGAGAAGAAAUUUGGGGGAUAUGGUCUUUGCUGUAAAGACGUCUUUCCAUGUAGUUAGAUUUGCUCUACCAGUAACCUUAAUGCUGCUUACAAUAGUUCAACAACACAUGCAGGAUUCCAGAAUGUUUCCAUGGCUGGAUAUAUGUAUAUAUAUAUAUAUAUAUUCCUUUUUUUUUGUAUUGAAAUAUUCAAAUCUAUGGGUGGUUCACUCAACUGUCUUUGAUAUUAGUCAGACUAAGGGACAUGUAUACCUCUGAAGAGGAGCUAUAUUCAUGUUGGAGAAGGUGUAAGUAUUAGCACCUGCAUGCCCUGGCUUUGUUGUUUGAGAGUUUUCAGGUUAGUGUGUCUGUAGUGUGCUGUGUGUUGCAACUGAGGCUAAUGCUGAACUGUGACUGCAAAUAAGUCAUCUUAAUCCUCUGAUUACCUGCAAAAACACGCCGUUUGGGACACUGACGUAACUUGAGACCGUUUUAGAGAAGGGAAAGAGAGGAGAAGAUUUUGGGACCUGAUGGCUAGGAUCUCUAUAGAAAACUUACCUCUUUUAGCUGAUGGUUGUACCUUUUAUACUCUACACUGAACCUAGUUCCUCUGGGGCUAGGUUGCCUACCACAUCUUCUAGUCUAGUCGAAUGAUCGAGGCCUUUGGCUUUCAGGAGUCUUAAGCAAUGAUGGAGUUGAGCUCGAGUAGUUCGAGGUCUAUAUUAUCGCUCCUCAAGUACCACUUUGUAUUCACUUAGCUCGAGCAUUGAGCAUUAUCCUAGCCCACAGGCUGGGUUUAUUGCCACGUGAUAAGUGAGAAUGGAUGCCUUCCCAAUGCGUCCUUUUUCUUGCCAUCAAGAACUUUGAGCUUGGAAAAAGCAGGAAUGCCAAAAUUCAAACUGUUUGGCUGAGUUGGCUUUUCAAAGUGAAAAUUGAACCGUUUGAGAUACACAUGGCAGGGCUGAGUUGGCUUUUCAAAUGAUGGCAGUAGGAUUUGCGCCUCAUCAUUGUGCCCGCAGUAUUUAAUCUAGUGGGCUGUUCCUUCAGGCCUUUUAAAAACCCAAAGAAUCUCCUUUUUUUCCUCACUUUGCCUUAUUUUGCAAGCCGAGACGCUGCUGGAUCUUUUUCCAGGCUACCUCCAACCAGUUUUUUCUGAUGCCACUUAAUCAAUUCCAGUUCAUUCACCUUACUUUCCUAGAGCUAUUUCAUGGGUAACAAGUUUUGCCUUAUCUUUACCUUUUAUUUUCUGUUUUUUAGUGGUUUUUUGGUCAGUGCUUGUGUCGUCUUAGAUAAAUUUUGCUUUUCCGGCAACCACCUGGAACCGUACCUCCCUAGAGCUCUGACUCAGUUUUUCCUGCCCUAGGGGUUGGGCGGCGGGCCUAGCCUUUAAUUCAUUUCUUUUGGGUGAAAGGAGAUGAAUGACAAAAUCUUGAUUGUGUAGAUUAACUUAGGACUACAUUGACUAUGCCUAUGAUGUGGAAAUCCUAUUUCCCAAGGAUUAGUUUUAUGAUGAGUGUGUGACAGUUUUUCUACAUUGGUUUAAACCAUGAUGAAGGAGCCUGCUGCUUUGGGAGACUAAUUCCAUGUAAGCAUCAGGAAAUCCCUGUUUGCGUAGUCUUCUUGUUGUGGAUAGGUUUUGUUUUUCUGCUUGUCUUGUCUAGAUAGUUUUCUUAUUUAACUAGAUGUGUUAUGUAGAUUUCAGAAUAUUAAUUUUUGAGUAUUUGAUGAAUACCACAGAUGGGGAAUGCAGACAGGAUUUUUAUUGCCAAUGGCAACUAGUGUGUAUGCUGCACUUUGGGCAACUAAUGAUAAAAUUUUAGUCAUAUAGCAGUAACUUUUGAAAGGUCAAUUAUAAUUUGCUUAGUCAAAUAGACCAUUAAAAGAUGAUGGAACUUAUUAUUAAUUUUAUUGUUUUUUCUUUUUUAUUAUUAGUCCUGAGGUGAAAUUGUUUAAUUCCAUAACAUGAAGACAGCUAAACAUUUUGAGAAGAUUUGAGAACUGCCCACUGGAGGCAUUGAUGCAUAUGCCAUCUUAGUAGGAAAUAUGUCUUUGACAUCUAUGAGAAAAGUUUAUCAAUAGAUCAUAGUAGGUAAUAAGUCUUUGACAUCUACUGGAAAUAAUGUGACAACUGAUGUGAGGUAAGAGGGUUUAAUGGGAAAAAUGUACUCCUUUCAUGCUAUAUGAGGAAUGAAUGGAAAUAAUAAAUUAUCUAUUCUGACAAGAAUAUAUGCUUCAUUAAAUGAGGUUAAUUCUUCUGCUUGAACAAGUAUUUAGUAGUUGUUCCCUUAGAGGAGGCCCCCUGAGCUUCCCUUUCCUACUUACUGCUUCUUGCUUGAUAAAUUUUGUAUUAAGAAUGAGCAUAAUUACAUUGUGUCUUAUUUAAAAUAUUUUCUUUUCUCUUUGUCAACAGUUUGUGUUUUGUGUGCCUCCUUUCCUAUAUCAAAAUAUUUAUCUGCAUCAUCGCCUGGAACCUUGAAGACAUUUGCAUAUCUACAGAACACUGGCUGAAUGAGUAUUGAUUAGUUGAAGUGUAUUUCUGCUAAUGGCAGAAACUGUGAUAAUGUUCCUCUUUAUAUCUAUGGCAUCUAUUCAGGACAUAUGUAUUGAAAUUUGAACCAGUUGCCUUACUUGAGAUGAUUAGUUGUGGCUGAGGCAAUGAAAUCCAAAUGGGAUAGCAUUAAUUGAGUUGGCAUCUUGUUAACUUUUCCUCAAAGUUGAUAUAUUGUAUCUUGCUUUCUUGCAGUCAAGUCUGGUUUUGGAUAUUUAUUCAACUAGAUGAAUAUGGUAUUUGAACACACUCAUUUUCUCAUUGUUCACUCCUUUUCUAUUCUAGUCACUUCUUGUUUAUUAACUUUGAGCUAAUUAUUUAAUUGGGGAAAUGAGUUUCUUACUUAAUAUGAGUUAGAUGUUGAAGAUGGUCACACUUUGCAUCUGGUUACCAGACAACCAGUUCCACCAUCAUCUGAGGGUUCACAUAAUCAAUCAGGUUUGAUAUUCUUGAAAGCUUUUUAUCAUCUUCAUAUUUGACUUCAGAUAUUUCAUGGAAUACUUGCUCUAAUUUUGUAUUUGGUUGUUACUCAAAGCUUUGUUAGUGGGAGUAAAUUCUAGUUUGAAGUCUUUCUGAUUAUGGAAAUCCUUCUUGAUUGACGUUAAUGAGAUGUUUGACUUUGAAGUAAUCAUAACCCUGAGUUACUUGAAGUUACUUUUUUUGUUGCCUUUGUUAUGUUCUAAACUUUUAAGCAAUGUGUGGAUGUAAUUUUGGUCACACAUGUACUUUAUAUUCCCAAUAUAAGUAUUUCAUUCCCUGUUUUUGUCUUAGUUUUCAAGCAUGGCUCUUUAUGGUAAUCUGAAUUUUAGUUGUGUCAAAGGUCAUAUUCCCAUGGUAUUUACUCUUUUAUUUGCGAAAUGGAUGAAAUUGUGGUGAAUUUGAUGGAAUGAUUUAAAAUUAAGCUUUCACAAAUUCUUAUGCUAAUGUACUACAGUCUAGAAUGUUUUCUUUUGUUGAUCAGCAAGAUCUAUGUCAUCAUAUGCAUGCUGAAAGCGGGCAUUUUGUAAUUCUUAAUUGUAUAUUCUGUCUAGCUUCUAGAUUUUUUCGCUGUUUCACUGAAUUCAUUAAUGUGAAUACCGGUUUUUUCCCAUAAAAAGCCAUUUUCAGUUAGAACUAGAGAACUUACUGCUGAAAGUAAUUGUUUGCAGAUGCUAUUCCUGGUUUGGGUAUGAGUCAUGGUCAAGACAAUCAGGUAGCUCCUGGGUUUCUACCUGAAAAUUUGAAUGUGCCUAAUCAAGGUGAUGCCAUUCCUCCAGAAAUUAAUCAGGUAAGUCUAUGAAUUAGAUGUGGAAUGGGACUCGUUUUUGGAUUUCUAUAGGUGUAAUUACAUCUCGCUAUAUCAGUUCCUACUUUGUUAUCUUUCUUGCUUGGCAGCUUGUUUCUGCUGUUCUUGGUGCUUUUGGAGUUAAUGAUAUUGGUGGUAAUCAGGGGCCUGAUGCUAGGGUAAAUUUCUAGUUCAAAGUCUACAAACAAAUCGACUACUUGUUGAAAUUGGUGUGCGACCUAUUGUUGCUUGGCAUGAUAUUUCGUGAAAGUGUGGCUCUUUGUUAUGCAAAUAAAUAAAUAAAUGCUUUUCAGAGAGUGAAUGUAAGGCAAACGCAACAAAGGCUGAAUUCCAUGUAAUUGAUGUUUUCUUUUUUGCUUUCUUGUUGCCUUCGUCUUGUCCUUUCUGAGCCACUGCAUGACCCGACAAGAUGUUAAGCACGUUGAAUUUGGUGUAUCCUUAACAUUCUUAGAAGUUGCAGAAAAUUUUCUGAGUCAUGGUUUAUUACAUUCUAAAAAAUUUUUUUUUUUAUGUCUGCAUGGAUCUAUAUAUGUUUCUAUCCAUAUUUAAUCUCACUUUUUGGUGUGUGGGGGGGUUGGAUGUGGAAGAAUAAUGGCCUGGAAGGACUUGGAUAUUGGGUGCUAACAGCAUCUCUGGUUUAACCCAAUCAAAUAGUGCCUUUGCAUUGGCAGUGUCUUUGGGGGCUCUUUCGCCCCUGGUAAGGUUGAGAUUCCUGGUUUUACUUUAUUCAUAUGCACUUCCUUUUUUCCUGGGUUGACUUUUUUUUUUUUUGGAUUUGAAAUGGAUCUUCUUUCAUGUAUUUACUGGUUGGAUAUUAAAUAUUGCGUGAUAUCGUGGACUUUGUAGGUCGUGCCUGAUUCUUUGACUACUUUGUCCCAGUAUCUGAGUCGAUUGAGGCGUGAGUUUGGUAACAGCAGUCAUUCCCUUUUUUUUUAACUUUAAUACAUGCAAAUCAGUCCUUUAAUGCUAGUACAUUCAGAUGUUUGAAACUUGAAAUACAUUUUGUUUACAGGCAGAGGCAAUGGAAACAAUGUGCAGACUGCUGAUAUCCAUGGUACUGCAGAAAGAGAAUCUAAUUCCAUAUUGCAUUCAGUGACUGCACCGGGCCUUACUCCAACAGCAUCCUUGGCAGAAUUGAUGCUGUCUGCAAGGCAAAUGCUUAUUGAACAAGUUGGAGAAUCCCUACUGGUAUAUGCAGAAUCAUUAUCCUUCUAUAUCAUUACCCGUCAAGGUAGCCCAAUUGGUCAGCGCGAACACUGGGAAGUGUGGUCCUAGUAAGUGGCACAUGGUCCUAAGUUUGAAUCCUGCCACUGAUGAUACCUUGAAUUUACCCGGUGUUGGUUGUUGCGGGCUGGUCAGCACUCCAAGGUUUGGGUCCCCAUGGAGAGUCCUAAGGGCUUGGUCAUGGAAGGUUCAUUGGUUAUAAUAUAUGUAUAUAUAUAUAUAUAUACUUCUACAUUGUUGAAAAUGUUUAUUUUGGUAAUUCAUAAUAUUUGAGAAGUUUUCUGGUAGCAUACCAUAUAUGAUGCAGGUAUUUCAUUACUACUCACAAUGUGAACAGAUUUGAUUUGAUCAUCUUUUAGAUUUGUACGCAGAAUAAAAGAAUCUGUUUAUCACGGCCUACAAAUAUCUGCGAGUUUCUCACUAUCCUGAUCCAUAUAUGCCAAAAAUAACAUGUAUAACAAUGUUCUAUUUUAUAUUUUGGCAGCAACUACAGAGGCAGCUAGAGAAUCAAGAGACUGCGACUAAUCUGUCUGAGAGGCGGGACAUUCAGUUUAGCGCAGGGAGAACAGGAGUUUUGCUUCAAAAUGUUGGUGCAUUUCUACUUGAACUUGGUCGUACAACCAUGACACUGAUCAUGGGUCAAAUGCCGGUAAGUAUAUUUUGGUUUUCAUUCAAUUAUCUGGUUGAUUGAGAUAUCAUUGAUGUCUUGUGUUCCUAUGAAUCAUUUCUUAUGCAGUCUGAAGCUAUGGUUAAUACUGGGCCUGCACUUUUCAUAUCCCCAUCUGGUCCUAAUCCUCUCAUGGUUCAGGCAAUAUUCUCAAUAUCCCCUUCAAAAAAAAAAAAAAAAAUGUAUCUUUAAAUUUUUUUAUCCACAUUUUCUGAUCAUAAUUUUAUGGCCAGGCUCAGCCUUUUCAACCAGGAACAAGUUUUGGUUCAUUCUCCACGGGAACUGCACAGCCUGGCUCUGGUUUGGUUAAUGGAUUUGGUUUUCUUCCAAGGCGUAUUGAUAUACAAAUCCGUAGAGGUGCUAUUUGAAUUACACCUUGGCUAAAUAUUAUCUUUAUUUUAUUUUUGGUGUAAUUUAUGUUCGGAUUUACUAAUCAAUUCACCAUUAGGUUCUUCAAUGGUCACUCCCAAUGUUAACCAAGUGGAACAUGGUUAUACUAAUCAGCCUUCAGGCCAAAGAAACCCAGUAACAAGUUCUGGUGGUGAAAACCCAGCAACUUCUCUGGUUUCAGAGGGUUCAUCUAUUGCUGCAGUACCAAUGAGGUCCAUGCUUGGAGCAGUAUCUGGUCCAUUUAAUAGUGUUCUUUCUGAUCCAUCCAGUGGUCUUUUAGGCUUGUACCCAGUUCUUGGAAGAUUACAACAUGUGGGUUCUGGACAUGCAAUUGAUGAGCUAGGAUCUCAAGCAUCUGGUGAACAUCAAGCCACUGGCUUCCAAACCGAGCAGCUCAAUGAAGGUGGUCGCACAACAGAAGGUAAUUCGACAAAUAUGGUAGUUAAACAUAGUAAUGAAGACUAGUUGUUUCAUAACCAAUUUAUGCUCAAGUAAUGAAUUAUAUGGUAGUGAAUUAACCCCUUCCAAUUUAUGCUCAAUUUUUGUUUUUACAUUGUGGGCGGUCCUGGUGCUUGAUUUUGUUCUCUUUGUUUGGGGUCUUUUGGGUCCUGCUGUGGUUUGUAAAAAAAUUUCCUUGGAUGGCAUGGUCCCUCUGCAGGGAAAGGCAUAACAGAAGGUCUAGAGGUUGAUUCCUCUCUACUUGUUUUCAUGUACUUGGAAGAACAUAAAUAGAAAACUUUAUAUGGCUUGCAACAUUAAAAUUUAGGAAUUAUAUGCCUGUUGCUCAAUUAUCAUUUUGUUCAAAGGACCAAGGUGCUCAUAGGAAGGUGCCAAGCUUUAGUAUUUAGAUUUCAUUGACAUCAAUUAUCAUGUAUUCUUUUUGACCUUUUUUUGAAGUGUUUCCUUGUGUACUUCUCCUGUACUUGGGUUGCACCCUUCUUUUGAUUGGUCCUUUGAAUAUAGCAUGCUGUUAUUUCUGCCUAUGAAAAAAGAAAGAAAACAAAAUUUGAGGAGAGAUAUGGCUUAUGCCCAUGUUGCUGUUUUUAAGUUAUGUUUUUUUUUUUUUUAAACAAGAAUCCUUUGAUUUUUAUUUGAUGAAAAUUUAGAUACUUUAAUUUAUGUAAGGUGAAUAAAGGUAUAAUGUUCCAUGAUUUCCAUUUCUUUUUUACUUGUUGGCUCUUCAGUUUGUUUAGAGCUACCGAAAGAUAUUAUAGAAUAGAAUAUAUAGAAAGGGCUGUUUCAGUGAACUUUUCCUAUGAAGGAAAAAAAUGCAAAAGAUAGUGAUUUUUUUAUGUUUAUGUACCAUAGAAAAAGGGAAGGAAAAAAAUACUAAGGAAAAGAUGGGGGAAAAAGCUAAAAGAUUUUCUUGGUCUCAUACGCCUUGUUUGAUUCCAAGAAAGUACUAAGGAAAGAACAAAAAAUGUUAAGGAAAUAAUUUUUUCGUAUUUGGUUUUACUAUGGAAAAUAGUAAAAUUAGUCAAAAACUUAUGCUUUUUCAAAUUAUUUAAUCUUUAUAUUGAAGAGUUAAAAUAAAUGAAAUAAGGUUGAAGUAGUAUAUAUAAAUAAUUUAUUGACUCUAAAUCUAUUUUUUAUUUUUCUUCACUUUUUUUUUUCUUCUACCUUUCCUCUCUAUUUUUUUUCCUUUGCAAUUCCCCUCAAAUUUUUUAGGAACCAAACAUAGCUUUUAAAAAAAUAUGUGAGGAAAGUUUGGGGUGCAUUCCUCAUUAAUUUAAUUCUCUUCUCUCAACUUUUCUAUGGAUGACCAAAUAAAAGAAAAUUCUAUAAUUUUUCUUUUAUCUUCUCCUUUUCCUCUCUAUUUUUUUUUCCUCAUAUUUUCCAAGAAUCAAACAUGGUCUAACAGAAAAAUAGGAAGUCCACCCCUAAACAUGCUGAAUUGCAAAUUAACUUAACAGCUGCACAAGGCAAAACCCCAUAAAAUCUGAACAGAGACAAAACAUAAACCCUCAAAUUCAAAACUACUUAAAAAUGUAGGAAGCAGUUUCAAUGAGCUGUAACAUGUAGAUAUUCAUUUGUAGUCGCUACAGAUAUUUCUACACUCAAGUUUACUUGUCUUUUCUCAUUCGUUAUUGGGUAAAGCCACUUAAUCAUGUAGGGAGCAGUUUCAAUGAUGUAUAACAUGUAGAGUUUCAUCAGUAGUUACUGCCAGUAUUUCUACACUCAGUUUACUUGUCUUUUUGCUCAUUCAUGAUUGGCUUUGGGAGUUGGAGAUAUAAUUAUUGGUUGGAUUUGAGUUCACCUGAUUAUUCUGCAUCAGGUGACCAUGACAUUAUCCUUGUUUUCAUGAGCUAAAUUUUUUAAAUUGCUUGUUUUUGCAGGAUCAUUGCCAACUCCUAGUUUAAGACACCUGGCACCAUCUGAAUCCCAGAAUUUCAGAAUCAACCUUCAGUCAACCAAUGGGACCAUAACUAAUCCAGAAGCUGAGGGACAUAUGCCCAGCAGUGUCCUUCAGUUUCUAAGGACCAUGUUUGCAGGUGGAGAAAUUGAACAUGUCGAGGAUUUCAAUUCACAAGGAAUAGCUACAAAUCCCGUCACAGAGCAUUCAGAGGCAGCCGCUGGUGCCAUGGAUGCUCAGCAAGCAGAACCAGAAGUUACUGAUGAAGGGAUCUUCUUGUCCAAUAUGCUUCGAGAGAUGAUGCGCUUCAUAUCUCAAGAUGUGGACCCAAAUGUCGCACCUCCUGAAGGAUCAAGUGCUUCAGAGCAUGGAACUGAUUCUUCCUCCCAAGUAAGCUUGCUUCAGCAAUUACCCACUUACCCUUGUUAUGAAUUAUGACCUCUUCUACCUCAAACUAAAAAGGAAUUUGAAUUUCUUCUUAUGUUUGUUCUUAAUGCCCUCCGUGUUAUCAGAAACAAAAUGGAGAAUGAGGCUUAGGCAUUAAGUGGGGAUAUGUUGUCACAAGUACUCUUAGUGCACUAUGUCUUAUUAAGUAAUGGAGCAUAAUAAUUAGGUUGGGUCGUAAAUCUGAAGGUCAAGCUAAGUAAUGAUGUAUUUGCAGGCUGAGAGCUCUGUUGCUGGGACUUUGCGACGGGAAAGUGAUAAUCAGGCAAGCCCCCCAAAUUCAAAACGUCAGAAGGUAUUACAGUUUGAAACUUCUCUGUCUUUCCUUUUCAUCUUCUCUCUUUCAAAUGCGUCUUAACUUAUCAUAUCUUCAGAAUUUAGGAGGAAAUGAUGCUGUGUCAUUAGAAAUUAGAAUUGAGAUAUUCAAAUGAGACACAUCAGUGGGUUGGAUCAUGAUCUCAAUCCUUGAUAAGACGCUGCAUUCUAUUUCCUCUGGUGAUCUCAUGCAUUCUAUUUCCUCCAGUGGUCUCAUGCAAUAAUUGUUAGAUCUGAUUCUCUGAAUUUGCAACCAUAUGGUAAAUUAUAUGUUUGUAUAUAGCAUUUUCAGUGUUUUGUAGGACUUCAAUUUAAUUUCAUCAUGCCAAAGUCAUCCACAUCAGGAUCCUGGACUGGAUUUAUGGGGGUCUCGUAGCUCAAUUGAGAACUUUCAAAUUCUAAAUAGUGGCAAAGAUGAUUGAACAUGACAUGGUCAUAUUAGAAAAUUUCCUGGAAUGCUGGUUAAGUUCAAAGUAUGAGAAAAUGUAAGAAAACAGAUAAGAAUACUUAUAUUUUUUUGCAAAAUAAGCUACUGAAACAAAAGGCCAACCUAAAAGCUGCACUAAAAUUGCUUUUGGAAGUGAUUCUUAUAGGGUGAGAAGCAUUUCCUAAUGCUAGGAAACACUUUCUUUACUAAAAUUAGGCAUUCAACAAAGUUUUAAAAAUCACUUUUGAACACAAGAAGUGAUUUUUUGAACUAGCACUUGGUGUUUUUUCCAAAGUCACUUUUUCGUUAUGCAUCCAAUUGCUAAAAACACUACUAUAUUCAAACAUUAACUGAUUCUUGAUGAAAAUGUUUCUGAAAGAAGUGCUACCAACAAAAGUGCUACAGAUUAAAAGUCCUUUUACCAGAAUCACUCCUAAAUGAGUCAUUAGCGUCUUUAAAAGAAGCAUGAAACAGUCCUCAAAAUGGAUAUUCAAACUCAUGGAUGUUUUUUGAAUACUUUCAAAUAUGCAGAGCUAUAAACAGAUUUAAAUGUGGUCUUCUUAUAGAUUUAUUGGGUUACAUUUCAUUGGAGUUGGUAGACCUACCUCAGUUGGACUUCCGACUGAUUUGGUAUAGGCAUUAUUUAAGAUAAUUUGAAUGGUUGAACCAGCAAAGCUAAAGGUGACCACAUAAUCUCUUUACAGUUUUGAUGCCCAAGACAACAAAAAAAAAAAAAAACAAAUAAAUAAAAAUAGAAGGAACAUUAGAUAUAUCUUCAUGUGAGUUUGCUUAGGAAAGGUGGACACGAAGGCGUUGCAGGUGAGAAUGGGAUUAGUGGAGAUUCUAAAAACUGCUGCAAAUCCUAUGCAAUGUGAUAUUGUAACAAUAUGGAAGUCAAAGCUCAUCAUGCAUGCAUCUUUAGUUCAGGUGGCCCUACCAACCAUAUGGUGGACUCUGGAAGAUCUUUCAUGCUUAAAAUUAAUUAAUAGGAAGAUAAAUUAGCACAUUCUUUUGGUUAUUUAAUAGAAUGGGGGGAAAUCAUUCCUAUUUUGAUUACAAAAAUUAUCACUCUGAAUCGAUUUGCUUAUGUUUGCAUGUUCUCCAUGCUUAACGUUUAUUUUGAGGGCAAAGUGUUUGAUUUGUGUUUCUUGCACAGAUGGAUGAUUCAUCCUGAGACUAGGGUUUUGAGAUAUGCUACCUGUUAUCUGUGGAUGCUGUGAAUAAUGAUCCCGAGGGCAAGCAGUGAGGCUUUUCUUACAGGUAAAUUUAGGCGCUAGUCAUUCCACCAUUGUAGUAAACCAUCCCCUUUUCACUUGAGCAGGUCCAUGAAGUGACUUUUCAAGAAUAGUCAUUACUUCCUUGAGACAGAAUAAAAUGACCUGCUGUUUGCCUGUAGUACUGAAUUCCAUCUUAUAUGUAACAAUACUUGGGUUGAUGUUUUGGUUUGCAUUUCCAUUAAGUGUAGUGGGUCUAAUGACUUUAUCCGAGCGCUUCCAUAAAUGUUACUGUUGGGGGAAACCUUGGUGGCUCCCAUUGUAUUCAUUGGAUUACUUUUAUGUGGGAUGCUGUGCUGACUGCUGAGGAAGUUCUGUUUUGAUCCCACAAACACGAGUGUAUGGGUACAAGGGAUCCUUGGACUCAUCGGAUGAAGUAUUUGUUGGCAGUCUAUUUGGGCGGUAAGUCCAACAAAAUUGAGUUCCUUACUUCUUGUUCAUCAGCCUUUUCAGUGUUGUUGGCGAUACUUUUUUGCACACUGCCAUGAUUUUGCAGUUCAAUCAACUGAAAUAAUCUUGAAACAGCCAUUAUUUUGAUGCUACAGUGUUGAUCAACUUCAAUGAUGAUGCUGAAUGGUAUUUGUCAGCGUGGGCUGUAUAGGUGAAAAUUUGAACUUACAUAUUUGGUUUCCAUAUCUGGGAGCUAUUAUUUUCUGAGAGUAGGGUUUCAAAGAUUAAAAAAAAACCAGAGACGGUUUACAUUGAUGUUUCUGUGAAGCCAUGACGAAAAAUUCUUGAUAAAAUAAGUUUAUAUUGUAUCUUGAGAAAUGAGAGUGCUUGACAACUUUAAAAUUACUUUCUGUUCCUCAUCUUCUUGAGAAAAUGGUUGUAGAGAACAAAUUCUGCCAACUUUUGGGGUGUAAUUUUUAAACUUUCCCUUGCCAAAUUCUGCGAUUUUAUUACAUUUUAAACUAAGGUGGAGUAGUCGUGUGAAUGAUCCCAUGAUCUUUAUAAUAAUAAAACGUGUUAAAGAGAUUAGACCAAUUGUCUUCUCUCAUAUCAGUUUUAAGUCCCUUGGUUUGAUUUUAAUCUUCUAAAAAACAACUUAAGGCACAUAUUAAGUCAUUAUUUUUUGUCAAUAGGCUAGCAAAUUCAAUGUUGUAGGAAAUCUUUUCACAUUUCAAUUUUUAAUUGCUAAAUAUUUUAUUUGUAUUGAUUGAAUUUCCUUUCUUCAAUUUUUAUUUAUUUUUUAAGAUUAAUUUCCUUUCCUUUAAAUUACCUCAUUAUAUUAGAGUACAAAGCAAAAAAAUAAAAAAUAAAAUUGGCAACUAGAAGCAAAAAAUAAUUUAAUGUUCUUAAAAAUAGAAAAUAUGGAUGGUUGCUUUUAUUUGUUUUCAAUUAUUUUCUAAAGGUCUAAACUAUAAUUAUAUAGAUAUGAAGGACUAAAAACGAAAUAAUAUAAACAUUUUAGGUUAUAAACCAUUUUUUAUUCUAUAAAACAGUCAAAAAUAAUUUUAAAAAACUGUUUUCAAAAUUGUUUUUAAACUACUUUUCAAAUAUAAACUUAGAGUGUGCUUGAUAAUAGUUUUAAAAAAUGUUUUUAACAUCUGUAAUACUUAAAAAUUUUUAUCCAUUAAAUAUUAAAAAUAUUAAAAACACUUUUUAUAAUCAUUAUCAAACGCAUUCUUAUUAAUUGUAAUUACAAAAACUUUUUUUUAAAAAAAUAAAAAUAAUUUUAAGAAUUCGUUUCAAAUAUGUUAAUCAAUCUAAGUUUCAAAUUACUCUUUCCCAAAAUCAUUUCAUUUUUCCAUAUUCAUUUCUACUCAUAUUUUCAAUGCCCUUUUUAUUUUUAAAUUAAAUUAAUAUUAGUGAUUAGAUUUUUUAAAAUAUUUUUUUAUAUUAAUUUCUAUUAGUAUUUUUUUAUAUUUAAUUUUUUUAUUAAAUUUAAUUAACAUAGUUGAUUGACAUAAGCUCAUUUUUAAAAUUAUUAAAUUACCUUCUAAUCAAAAUGAUUUAACAUCAUUAACACACCAAAUUAUAACCAUAUAUUUAAUUUCCUUUUUAUAUCAAUUCUUAUUAUUUUUCAUUCCUCAUUCCUAAUUAAAUUAAAUUAAAUUAACAUAAUAAUAUAAAUGUCAUUUUCUUAAAUGUCAAAUUCUUAUUUUUAAAAUAAGACUUCCAAAGUGGUGAUGAAAUGGGUUGAAUUGGAUUUACAUUUAAUUUGGGCUUCUCGAAAAAGGCCCAAAGGGUUUUGUGUCGAAAAUCAAAACCCUAGAUCCUACGGUCAAAAACACGUUAUAAAACAAUCGGAACAAACCCUAAGCCGCUGUCUCCACAUUCAUCCUCCUUUUUUGCAUCGUCCGCCUCUCUGCUCUCAGCCACGCCCAGGCCAAAAUGGUGAGUGUCUCAGCAACUCUCAAAUUUUCGUUCUGAUAAAUAUUUGAUUUUGUUUUGUUUUGUUUUGUUUUGUUUUCUUCAGUCUGAAAUUGAAUCAUUUCUAUUUUGUGUAGCCUUUCAAGCGGUACGUGGAGAUCGGGCGAGUCGCUCUCGUCAACUACGGCAAAGAAUACGGCAGGCUCGUCGUCAUAGUCGAUGUCAUUGAUCAGAAUCGGGUAUGUGUGAAUGUGUGUGUGCUUGAUUUCAUCCUCUCGGUUGUUUUCUAAGAGUUAUCUCAGCAACGAGUAGUGGUUCUGGAACGGAAAACCUUAAUUUCAGAAAUUUAGGGUGUAUUCAGAUCUGUUCUUCUUAGAAAACAAUUCUCUUCUUUUUCUGAAACAGAAACUAGUAGAAAAUGCAAAAUGGAAGUCAAUCAACGGAUAUGAAAGUACUAAUUAUUUAUAAUUUUUUUCGAAUGAUAUUGAGUGGGUUUGAUUUAUAUGAGGUGGAUUUAACAUUUUCCUCAUUGGGAAUAUAUUGAGACCCAUUGACCAACUGUGUCUAACAAACUAGUGGAUUUUUUGCUUUUGCCUUGGAAUAAAUUAGAUAAGUUUUAUGAAAGAUUUUUCAAAGUCUACAAGCAUUGAAUACAUCAAUAUUAAAGAUAUACUGUUGUUUCCUUCAUGAGAAGAGAUGAUUAUCAAUCUCAGAGUGCAAUUGUAUCCCUUUGCAGGCUCUUGUGGAUGCACCCGACAUGGUGAGAUGCCAAAUGAACUUUAAGAGGCUUUCACUCACUGAUAUCAAAAUUGACAUCAAAAGGGUGCCUAAGAAAAAAACAUUGAUUGAAGCUAUGAAUGCCGCGGGUAAUGACAUGUGGAAAAAAUGGGAACUCUUUUCCAUAUUUGAUAGUCAUCUUUUUCAUUAUCUUAAUUUUUCUUUUGAUGGCAGAUGUUAAGAACAAGUGGGAGAAUAGUUCCUGGGGCAGAAAGUUGAUUGUCCAGAAGAGGAGGGCCUCUCUUAAUGACUUUGAUAGGUUCAAGAUCAUGUUGGCAAAGAUUAAGGUUUGUUAUGAUGCAAUCCCUGUGUGUUGCUGUUUAAUUUUUCCCAUCUCUCUACUUAAUUUUUUGUGGAUUCAGACUAGAACCCCACUGGAAAUGGCCCAAUCUAAUAUAUUUGUUUAAUAUGCAUUUGCAGAGGGGUGGAGUGAUCAGGCAAGAGCUGGCAAAGCUGAAAAAACAGACUGCAUCCUAGGCACUAGUUUUCAAUGGGAUCCCAAUUUUGUUAUGAAUUUUCUGCAAUUUGGAUUGUUUUGUCUAUUAGUUUUAAAGUUUAAAAGCUACUUAAGAAACUUCUUGUAUCUUUUUACAGACCAGUAAUCAGUCUUAGUUUUUUUUGGUGAGACUAUUAUGUUAAGAUGCAUGGAUGUGAUCACUGGGUUGUUUAUCACCACUAUAAGGUUGCUGUCUUUGUCGUCUAAUUUCCUAUGGGAAUUGGAUAGGGUGUGAUUUAGAACAAAUCAACAUGCAUCUAUAAGCUCUGGGAUUUCAUUUAGAGGCUUUGUGUACGGAAUUGUUUUCUUGUCAUAUGGAUUACUAUCUUGUCCUAUUUGCCUGUGCCAGCAGGUUAUAGGAUUCUUGAGUUUGUUGCAAUCUGGAUGAUGCUAGAACUGCAUUUUGCCCUAGCAACCUGUUUUUAAGACAGGUCUGUGUUCGGCCAAACUUAAGAGUGCGCUGCCUGUGAUAGAAUUUGUUAAUUAGUUAAUAUGUUGAUACUAGUCAGAAUCAAUUCAAACCCCAGUAUUUUUAACCCCAAAUUGGCUAUUUGAUACUAUUAAUGACUUUCUCAGCCUAUUUUGUUGCUUCUAGUGAGUUGCUUGAGUGCUGCUAGGGUUUUGGGAUAGGUUAAAAAAACGUGUAAAAUUUAGUACACAUGCUACUAAAUUUCUCAAGAAGGUUAUGGGCUAUGGCUGCUGGCUUAGUAGGCUGAGGGGUGAAACUCUGCCUAGAGUCGUUUUCAAUUAUUUGAUCUCAAAUGAGAAAUGGAAUUAGGGCUCAAAAUCAGUGACCUUGCCAUCUCCAUAUCUGAAUCAAUAUGAUGUUAAUGCUGUAAAUCAUAUGUUUUGCAUCCCUAAUUCAUUUUCAAAACUUGCAACCUACUCGUUUGCAGUGUACGUGUGGCUCGGAGCCAGUUGCCCGCUGAUCGUUAACCACUGAGCAGCAUUAGGCAAAGCAGGAAGAAUGAAAGACUGAGAAAACUCUUAACAGUUGGUAGAUUGCCCCUUAUUUUAGGAUUAAAGUUGGAGUAGUGCUCGGAAGUAGAUUGAACCAUUGUAAAUAUUAGAAUUUCUUAUCCAUUUUUUCGUAUUUAUUAUUAUGCUCCUUUUUUAUAAAUAAAAAAAAAAAAUUACACUCAUGCAAAAAAAAACAAAAUAUUAAAAAAUAAAUUUUAUUAAAUAAAUUAAUUUUAAUUACCUUAUUUUUAAAUUCUAAUAAAUUGAUUGUUUAAAAUAUAAAAAUAAUAAUAUUCUAUUUUAAGUCUUUUUAUAUCUUUUGAAUAAAAACAUAAAUUUGUAAAUGCAAUUAUAAGUAUUUUUAAAUAAAAUUAAUCCUACAUAUAUCAUUGUUGUUCUCUAUCCUUAAAUGGAAUUGAAGUAAACAUAUUGUCGUUUUUACAUUAAUUUUUUGUCAAAUUUUAUAUGUUAUUGUCUAAUGUUAUAAAUUUUAUUAUGUAUAUUAUUUUAAAUUUUACAUGUGUAUUAUUAUUUAUUCUAUUUUUAAUUUUUUUAAAUAAUUUUACUGUGUUGAUGAAUUUUCAUACCUGAAUUUUUUUUAUAUUUUCUGAAAUUUCCAUAAAAUCUAGUCACAUUCAUCAUUUCAAAUGUUCUCAUCCUUGGGAACGAAGUUAGGGUAGUGGGGUACCCAACUUUUUUUUAUAAUUUAAAUUGAAAAUAUAUAUAUAUAUAUAUAUAUAUAUAUAUAUAUAUAUGAGGAAAAAUAAGACUAGUGAAUUUAACAUGUACGAAUUUUAUUUUUAAAUUAUUUAUAAAAUUUCAAUUUUUAGGUAAUGUUUGAUUUCUAAUUAAAUAUAAAAAGUUAAAAUAUUUGGUUAUUAUUUUUAAAAGUUGUUAGAAAAAUGGUUUUGAAAAACAAUUUUUUAUAUUUUCAUAUUAAAAAAAAUUAUAUUAGGAACUAAAUUAUGGAAAAUAUUUUUUGUUUAAAAAAAAAAAAAACAGUUUUGAUGGAAUUAAUAAUAUACUAAAGUUCCAAUCAGAAAAUGCAAGAUUCAUACGAAAGCGAGAAAAAUAAAUUGCUUUAGAGCAAAUACUUUUUUCUUUUACUAUCAGUCUUUCCCGAGAACCAAUCAGAAAAUAGAGAAGAGUUAACAACACCAUCCUCUUGAGCUCCAGCUUCAACAUUUUUCUUCUUCUUCUUUCUUCUCAUUUUCUUCUUUUUCCUCAAUUUCUCAGCGUCCAGCAUCGCAGCGAGGUUCUGGAAAACGCUCAAAUCUUCUCCUCUCUUGUUCGCUUCCUCUCCAAACGCAUCCUCGGUUUAUUGGCCUAGCCAUCUUCCUUCUCUUUACUACUUGAUGAGACCACAGAUUUUCUAUCAUUUUCUUUUCCAGAAAAUUUGGGUGGGAAACACAAGAAGUAAAAGGAAAUACGGAGAACACUACCUUCUUUAAAAAAUAAUAAAAACAUCUUUUUAUUAUUCUAAAAAAAAUGAUUUUUUGAUAACAUGAAAAACAAAAAACAUCACCUUUCCCAAACAUAUUUUUAGUGUUUUUAUUUUCAAGAAAAGAAAACAUUUCUUAAAAAAAAGCAACUAAACAAACCCUUACUUUUUUCUAAUCAACUAAAAAUAAUUUAUUAAUAUUAACCAAUAUAACUAAACUGAAGCUAUUAGUAAUAGAUUUACUUUAAUUAUGUUAACGUAUAUCAAUAAGUUAUUUUAAAAGGAAGAAUGUGAAUUGGGCUAUUAAAACUUUUUCAAAAACUAUUUAAAUUAACCAAUAAGUAAUGUAAUAAAUGCAAAUAGAGAAAAAAGAGAGAUGCAAACUUGUUUUAUAGGGGUUUCAUAAAUUUUGUUUACAUCCACUCUCCUCAAUCUUCUUUUUGAAUAAAAGUUUCACUAAAACUUCGAACUAAGCUUUCAAUUUGUACCAUUAGAUUUAAUGGUCCCAAUGGGUUUUACAAAUCUUCUUAAACUUAACACUUAUUUGAAGCUCUAAUCAAUUAACCUUUUAUAAAAACGGUAUAGUUAAUUACACUCAACCUAGCUCCAUAAUGGUUCAAUAUAAUGAAAAUUGGGAUGAAAACAAAUGGGUGCAUCAAAUGAUUUGCAAAUGAAGAAUUCAAUGGACUUGGGUUUGAGAGUUUUGAAAGAGAGAAAAGAGUAGACUAAUAAUUCAAUAUAGUUAUUUUGCACACAAACUCUCAAUUUAUAGUAAACCAACCCAACCUAGGACCCCAUUUUUUUUUUUUUUUUGAAGAAAUAAGUUUUACCUAACCAAACUUCGAUUUGUCCAAUUUAGUAGUUGUUGGGCAUUUAAUGUACUAUAGGUGAUUGUUGAUCUUCUAUGAACUUUGACCAUCCCUCAAUUGAUACUCGAUUGGGGAAAGCAGUACCUCUAUCAUGAACACAAAGGUUUUAGAAAAGAGAGAAUACAUUUUGGUACCUUGAUUGGUCCUUAACCAAGAAAGUACUUUUUCGGUCCAAAGCUUUCCAACAUUAGACAAUUUAUUUAUAAACCUUUGUAUGUUAAUUUGAAAUAAUUUUGCCUAAAGUUUUUAAAGAUUAACUUAGGUGGUGUUUGUUUUUUUUACUGAAAGCAAUUUAGUUUUAGAAUUUAGAUUGUUUAUUUUUCUACUUUUUCAUGACUUAUUAUAAACUUUUUACUAAAUAGAAAAAAUCAAAAUAUGUAACUUUUUCUAAAUAGAAAAAAUAACAUAUUGGUUUUUUUUUUUUUUUUACUUUUUAAUACUUAAUAGAAAUAAAAUACUAUAAAAACAAACAACCCAAUAUUUAACACUAUUAAGCAUUAAGGUUCUAUUUAGAAUUAAGUAAAAAAACAAACAUCACCUUAGUUUCAAAUAAUUUAUAAACGAUUAAGCUCAUUUUUAUGAAAAUCGUGUAUGAAUGAAUACAUGAAAAAUACUUUAAUCCUAAAUACACCCAACAGAUUCACCUUACAAACUUAUCUUAAGAUUUGAUGAGUCUCGAGACACCCAAGUCUUCAAAUUUAUUGAACACCUUUUAAAUAAACUUUAAGCUUCUUUUUCAUUUUAACGGUCAAACUUAAAACUUUACUUGAUUUAAACUCGUUAAUUCACUUAACCUUUUUUGUUUUUAUCAAAACUGACUUAGAAUCCUUGAACUAAUAUAUUUUGUUGUUGAUUGUUGCAUAAUAUUUUUUGGAAGUGAAAUCAAAUAAAAAUUAUUUAUUUAAAUUUUACUAAAAUGGAAAAAUAAAAUUAUUAAAUAUUAAAUUUAAAAAUAAUAUAAUGGUUUAUUUAAUUAAAUUCUAUUUUUAUAUACAUGGAAGUAAAGAAAACAAGCAAAAUCCCUUUCACCAUUAUACAUGUUUUGAACAAUUUAAUAAUUCAUUUUACCAAACACACAAAUGUUAUUUUCAAGACUGAUGAUUUUUUAAAAUCGUACCAAAUUAUAACUAAAUUUUCUUUUAACGUAAUGAAAAGUAAUUUUUCUAAAAAUUAUAAUAAAAUCAAAGUGAUCUUUAAUAUAUGAUAUUUUGUUCAUAUUUAUAUUCUUUUUGUUUUCAGUAAUCUUCUUUACUUCACUUUUUUUAAUUUUAAAAUAUUUUUAUUUAAAAAAAAAAGUACUAAAUUGGUGAUUUCACUUUCAAAUUUCAUUGAAAAGGAUAAUAAUAAUAAUUAAAAAAAAAAAAAAGGUCAUGGGCCUAGACAUCUUCGCCUGACUUCAGUCCGGUAACUUGGGCCGACUUGAAGAAUACCCUCUUCUGAGUACUAGGGUUUGGGCCCAAAACUGAUAACAAAAGCCCCGGCGUAGCUCAUCAUCAUAUAGGAAGUAGGAUUAGGGUUUCUGCAUCUGAACAACUCUGCUCCUUCGCCUCUUCUCACCGCUGCAUUCUCUUCAGCGCUCUCAAUCAUGGCGGAACAGGUCAAGCUCAGAUCUUCUAUCACUCUCCCUUUAUACAUAUAUCUUGAAACAGCUCAAAAGCCUAGUUUUUGUGACUCUUUCUAUUGCAGACCGAGAAGGCAUUUCUGAAGCAACCCAAAGUGUUUUUAUGGUAACAGAAAAUUACGAAUACAUUCUCAUUGGUUUUUGUUUUUUCCCUUGGGGAUGACAUUGUUUUUCCCCUUUUUAAUUCGUUUUUACCGUUUUUCUCUGUGCUGAAAACAAUCCAGCUCGAAGAAAUCUGCGAAGGGGAAGAGGCCUGGGAAGGGUGGAAACCGGUUCUGGAAGAGCAUUGGCUUAGGGUUUAAGACACCCCGAGACGCUAUUGAAGGUUUGAAUUCAUUUUACUUGAGUUUGUGAAUUCUAAAUUUGAUAUUCUUGCAUUUUGGUAUAUCAAUCUAGUGCUUAGCUGAUAUCUUACUCGUUUUUUAAACCGAUAGUAUACAUAAUCAUCAUAUAUUAUGAAAUAAUGGUGAAAAUUAGUGAAUUUUUUUAGUUUAUUUAUUUUUCAAGUAGUUGGCUGUGCUCUUCAUUGUGUCUUCCUGUCAUUACAGUCCUUUGAAUAUUUUAUGAAUAUUGUAUGAACUUCAGGUUCCAGAACUACAGUCCUCCUAUGAAUAUUAUAUGGGGCUUUGGGCUCAUCGUCAGAUUUAUUGAUUUUUCUCAACAUUAUGGUGCUCUACUGCUAUCUAAUAUUCUAUAAUAAUAAUAGUAAUAAAAAAAGACCAUUCCCUGGUGGUCAUCCAUCAGGGUUCUGGGAGCAGUGUGAUGGAUAUGGUCUCAGGCACUUUUUGCACAAAGUGGCCACUCACUAGAAUGGAACCUGUGAAUUUGCACCGGCCAACUUGAGAUUUUGGUAGUUUAUCAAACACGUUGAUACACAUUUGAAUUGAACUGUUAUUUCAUAUUUUUAUUGUGUUUACCAACAUGUGGACUUGCCUAAGGUACCAUCAAUCAUAUUUUUUGUUUCCCCAUUCUAUGUUUGUGUACUUGCUAUACCGUUAAAUGAUAUUGAUAUUGAGAGUGGUGUUCUGGAAGUUUAUGCAGCAUACAACUUUAGAUGCAACUUAGGGUAUACAAAUUGGGCUAACUUGUGUGUAUGUUUUUGUGUCAUACGGUUCAUAAACUAGGCAUUUGUGAGGCGUAUGCUUCAUUGCCCGAAUCUGUGCUUCUAACAUUUACUGAGAAAAAAGUAAUGAAUCCAUGGUCUUCUACAAUGAUACAGCAUGAUCGAUAUAUUUGGGAUAAAAUCUAGAUGAAAUUGAAUCCAGAUUAAAUAACCUUCUGUAUCCUGGAGUUAUUCAGUUAGUCAUUCUUGGUUUGUUAACUCAAAUCCAACCUCAGCUCCACAACAUACAAGGCAUGGAAGAAUUCCCCAAUGGGCAACUUGACUGGGGCUACCUAAUUCACUAUCCUUGGUGGAGGGUUAAUGUAUUCAUAAUUUUUCCUGGUCCUAUGAAGCACGCUAGUGGGUUCCCUCACCACGGGGAGAACGGACUUUUGACAAGAGUACGGUAAUUUAAAAAAAUUAUUCUUAAAUUACCGUAGUAGGAAAAGUAAUUCCAAAUCUACGAUAGUUUUUGCCAGGUAGGAGAGCGGAGUUUGUCAAACUUGGAAAUCGUCUUUUGAAAAGACAAUUUCCAUCAUAACAAGUAAAAAAAAAUUUAAUCCCUCAAAAAUCGUCUUUUCAAAAGACGAUUUAAAAAAAAAAAUUUAAUUUUUUUUGGAAAUCGUCUCUUAAAAAAAAAUAAAAAUUAUUUAAGUGGAAAUCGUCUCUUGAAGAGACGAUUUCCACCCAAAUUUCAAUUUAAUAUAUUUUAAUAUCUUUAUAUUAUAAAAACAAAUAAUACAAUUUAAUAUAAAAAAAUAUUAUAAAUCCAUUUUAAAAUUACAAAAUUAAUUAUAAUCAUACAAUUAUUAUAAAAUUAAUUAAUUUAAUUUACUAAUUUUAAUAUAAUAUAAAUAAUAUUUAUCUAUUGUUUUUUUUUAUUUCACUUUGCAAUUAAAAAAAACUAUUAUCAAUUUAUAUAAAAAAAUGAGUUUAAAAAAGCAAAUUUGUUAUUAAUUUAUUAAAUAAUUAUUUACAAAAUAAAUAAUUUUGUUUUGUUUUAAUUUUUAAAUGAAUUAUAUUAUAUAAAUUUUAAGAUUAAAAAUAUUAAUAUUUUAAAUUAAUAUUUCAUAUGUUUUGAUAGCUCUUAUAACCUAUUAUACUUCAUCACACCAAUUUGAAGAAGACCAUUGGCUACCCUCUCAUAGCUAGCCCAUAGGUAUAGGAGAAUCUUACCUAUUGCAUGUGUUGUCAUUUUCACCCAUUUAAUACUUCAAUUUACUCCACCAAUUUGACCGUUAUACUCCACCAAUUCCAUUUGAAACUCAAACUUUAACCACUUAUCCUACACACUACACUCAUCCUACCUUUUUCCAACUUCUCAUACACUAUAAGUGGUUAACAUUUGAGUNNNNNNNNNNNNNNNNNNNNNNNNNNNNNNNNNNNNNNNNNNNNNNNNNNNNNNNNNNNNNNNNNNNNNNNNNNNNNNNNNNNNNNNNNNNNNNNNNNNNGGCGGAGUAUUAAAUGGGUGGAAAUGACAACACAUGCAAUAGGUAAGAUUCUCCUAUACCUAUGGGCUAGCUAUGAAAGGGUAGCCAACGGUCUUCUUCAAAUUGGUGUGAUAAAGUAUAAUAGGUUAUAAGAGCUAUGAAAACACAUGAAAUAUUAAUUUAAAAUAUUAAUAUUUUUAAUCUUAAAAUUUAUAUAAUAUAAUUCAUUUAAAAAUUAAAACAAAACAAAAUUAUUUAUCUUAAAACAAUAGAUAAAUAUUAUUUAUCUUAUAUUAAAUUAGUAAAUUAAAUUAAUUAAUUUUAUAAUAUAUAUUUAUAAUAAUGGUAUGAGUAUAAUUAAUUUUGUAAUUUUAAAAUGGAUUUAUAAUAUUUUUUUAUAUUAAAUUGUAUUAUUUGUUUUUUAUAAUAUAGAGAUAAUUAAAGAUAUUAAAAUAUAUUAAAUUGAAAUUUGGGAAGAGACGAUUUCCAUUUGGGAAUUUUUUUUUUAAGAGACGAUUUCCAAAAAAAAUUAAUUAAUUUUUUUUUAAAUCGUAUUUUGAAAAGACAAUUUUGUGAAUUUUUUUGUUGGGUGGAAAUUGUCUUUUCAAAAUACGAUUUUUGAGGGAUUAAAUUUUUUUUUUACUUGUUUUGAUGGAAAUCGUCUUUUCAAAAGACGAUUUCCAAGUUUGACAAACUCUGCUCUCCUACCUGGCAAAAAUUGUCGUAAAUUUGGAAUUACUUUUCCUAUUACGGUAAUUUAAGAAUAAUUUUUUUAAAUUACCGUACUCUUGUCAAAAGUCCCGGGGAGAACACUAACAACAAUAUCUUAUCAUUUGUUUUUCCUUCUUUUUUGUUUUUGUUUUUAUUUUAUUUUAUUUUAUUUUUUUUUAAUUUUGUAAAAUCAGAUAAUUGGAAGUAGUUUCUUUUUCUUUUUACAUUUUUUGGAGAGGAGAGAGGGGAAGGGAUCAGAAAUUCUGCCCUUUCUUUUGUGUAUUUUGGGAUUUUGGCACUUAGCAGUAGGCUUAAAAUGUUUUUCUCUCAUUGUGUGAAAAUCCCCAGAUGUAGAUAUAUUGAUGGAUGUAUUAAUGUCAAUGGAUAAAAAUAUAGAAUAAAGAAGUGCAGAAAGUGAUGUAAAAGAAAAAAUGAUGGAAACUGUACGGAAUGUUAAAAAAAGAGAGCUUCUAUGGACAUAGAAAGACCUAUUAUAUUUCAAAAGGAAACUUAUUCAUGGUUGAAGAGUGUUGUAUAUGGUUACUGAAAAUAAUUCCCAGUGAGUUUGUAUUGAGAUUCACAUUGGUUUGAAUGUAGUAAGAUCCUUUCUAUUAAGAUCUUUCUAUAAAUGAAAUUAUGAAUUAGGUUUUUUUUUUUGAUAAGCAAAUGAUAUAUAAAACACGACAAAAAGCCUCAAGGCAUAUAGGAAGUAUACAAAGCAACCAAUCCUCAAACAAAAAACAACACGAACCAAACCCUAUUUGGAGGCUAACCAUUCCAAGAAACCUAUUAGGGAUUUCGACUCCAUAUCAAUGUACACUUUAGCCCAACCCCAAAUAAUGUAUACAAGCGACGUUUUUAAUUUCUGAGAAGCCAACACCCCCCCUUUAAAAGUUAGUCUGUUCCUCUCCUUCCAUAUAGUCCAGAGAAUGAAUAACGGGAUGGACUUCCACACUUUUUUUCUUUUUCUCCCCACAAAAGAGCCUCUCCAGCUACUAAGGACCUCCUUUACAGAAUUUGGAAAGACCCACUGUACACCACACAAUGCAAGAAUGAUGUUCCACAACCCUUUUGCCACUAUACAAUGUAUUAAUAUAUGAUUGAUCGUUUCCUCUUCGCACCCACACAAAAAACACCGAUUAGGUAAAUGCCACCCUCUUCUCUGCAGCCUAUCCAAAGUGAGGACCUUCCCCCAAGUAGCUUCCCAAGCAAAAAAGGCAAUUUUGGUUGGGACUUUGUCCACCCAAACAUUGCUAUGAGGGAAAUCCAGCCCUUGAGAAUUUACCAACACAUUAUACGCUUUCUUGACUUUAAACAACCCGUCCUCACCCUUCUUCCAAAAAACCGAAUCGUCUUCCACAUUUACACUAUAAUCCCUCAACUCAACUAAGAGAUUGCCCACCAAACCCAACUCCCAAUCAUUCAAAUCCCUUAACAGCCUUAAAUUCCACCCUCCUUGACCCACAUUCUGAUCCCAACAUUCCUCCACCGUGACAUUCCUAUGGGCAGCCAUGGAGAAGAGGUUCGGAAAGCCUUGGGACAGCACAUUGUUACCGCACCAAAGGUCAGUCCAAAACCUUAUUCUAUUGCCUUUUCCCACCUUGAACCCCAUAUUUUCCCAGCACCAAGUGGACUCCUUCAGAAUCUCCUUCCAAACUCCAACACCGAACGCCCCAUUUGCCUUCCUUGUCCUCCACCCAAGCUCCUCUUUCCCAUACUUAGCCUCAAGCACUUUUUUCCAAAGCUCCUCCUUAGCACACGCAAAUCUCCAAAUCCAUUUGCCUAGGAGAGCUUUGUUCAAUAGAGUAAUUUUCCUUAGCCCCAACCCUCCCUUAUCUUUAUCCGCGCACACCACCUCCCAUCUAACAAGAUGAACCUUACUCCCCCCAUUGGCUCCGCCUCACAAAAAAUCUUUUUGAAGCUUUUCAAUCCUUCUUGCCACUGAUUUAGGCAUACGGAAAACCGACAUUUGAUACACGGGGACGCUGGACAGUGUACUCUUUAUAAGAGUAAUUCUCCCACCUUUGGAUAGAUAUUGACGUUUCCAAAGGGCGAGCCUUCUCCUCAUUCUCUCCUCCACCCCAUCCCAAGCAGAGGAAGCCCUAUUUGGUGCCCCAAGGGGCAGCCCCAAGUAAACAGUAGGCAGCUGCCCCACCCUGCACCCAAUUUCAGCCGCCAUUUCCAUCACCCCUUCCACCCCCCCUACCGGAAUUACCUUACUUUUGUCCAAGUUAAUCUUUAACCCUGAGGCUGGUUCAAACCAAAAUAGGAUCCAGCCCAAAUACAAAAGAGCCUCUUUCUUAGCUUCGCAAAAAACAAUUGUGUCGUCCGCGAAUAGAAGAUGAGUAAUUUUAACAGCCUGCUCUCUACCUCUCCAUAUCCUGCAGCCCUGGAUGAAUCCCCCUUCAGCAGCCCUAGUGAUGAGCACACUUAGGACUUCCAUGCCCAUGAUAAAUAAGUAGGGGGAAAGGGGGUCCCCUUGCCUUAACCCUUUUGUGCUUGAGAAAAAACCAGCUGGGACCCCGUUCACCAGCACUGAGUAUUUGACAGUGGAGAUGCAAUUCCACAUCCAUCCUAUCCAUUUUGACCCAAAACCCAUCUUUUGCAUGACCUUUAGCAAGAAUUGCCAAUUGAUGCUAUCAUACGCCUUCUCAAUGUCCAAUUUACAAACUAUACCUUUCUCUCCCCUCUUUUGCCAAGAAUCUAUCACCUCAUUUGCGAUUAUGAAUUAGGUUUUUUGGAAUGGCUUGCCAUUCCUUAAGGGUUGGUGAGUGUGUUGUUCUUUUGUUUUUGCUUAGGCUGCUAUGUAUACUUCCUAUAUGCUUUGUGGCUUUUUGCCUCUUAAUAUAUUUGCGCUCACUUAUCUAAAAAAAAAUAAAUGAAAUUAUGAAUUAUUUUCCAAAUUGCAGCAGUUUGAUGUUGUCAUGGUUUAGAAGCAAAGAAUUGGUUAUAGACAGUGAUACUUUAGUAUCUUUGGAAUUUUUGAUAUCUCAAUCUCAGUUGAAUAAACCAUUUAUAUUGUGAGCAAAUUAUUACAUGUGGCAUUGAAUCUUGGAAUUUUUUGCCAUUCCAAAGUUAUUGCAAGACACAUGUAAAAUAAUAGAAAGAAGUCACUAAAUGUUCAGAGCACUAAUGUAUCUUCUGAGCAUCCUGUUCCAACAUUUCUUGAUUGUAAAAGUUUUGUGUAUUAAACUAAUGUUUGUCCCCAGUGUUUAGCAUCCCUUCAUUUUGUGUGUAUGAUUUCAUAUACAAUGUUUUAAAAGACUAUUAACGCUUAUGUCUUGAGGCUCACCUCUAGGUGAGGGUAUAGCCUCAGUUAGGGUAUUGAGGCUUAAGUCUCAUCUUGUCAAGGCUGAGCCUAGAGGCUGUUGAGGCAUAAGUCUGAAACAUUCAAAAGCUUUUUGAUAUAUAUUUUAUAAAAGGCUCAAAGCCUUAAUAUUCAAUGAGUUUUGGUGGGGGUCUUUUGAUACAAAUUUUAUAAGUUUUGCAUUGGUUUCAAUCUACAAUUAGACCUUGUACUGGGACCUCCUCAAUACCUACAGUUUAGAUGAGAUUAGAGUCAGUUUAGAAAAACCCGUAGCUGUUGGUUCGAUAGAAACUGGAGCUGUCAACUUAUGGCACUUCAAAGUGGAAUCUGCAUCUUUUUCUCUUUGUUUACAGAGGGAUUAGUGGAGUGUGCUUCGGUCUUGGUCUAGAGUGCUUCCUUCUGCGCCUUGGUUAGCCUCAGUUGAAUUUCAAUUAAUCUUUUAAAUAGAAGGGAAAAGGAAGAUUGAGAAAAAGAAAUUGGGGAAUUUUUGGCCACUAUAGCGGCCAAGCUUGUAUAUAAUCAUUAUCUUAUUAUUAAUAAAUAAUGAAAAAUACCACUACAAUUGAUGGAUGAAGCAGAAUGAGUGGACAUUAACACUAAUGAUGAGGAUAAUACAACAAUUUGAUAUGAUUAUAGAUCCUUGGAGGAUACCACAAUUGUAGUGAUGGUAAUGCUGAAGAUUAUUUAAUGAAAGCUAUGGGAGAGUUGGAUUUUAGAAGAGAAGAAAAAAGGAACUAAAUCAGAUAUUAUCAACAAUGGAAAACAAUUAAUUUUGUUAUUAUGAAUUUUAUGGGUUUCUUAUUACUUAAUUUUCAUGUGAUUUUAUUAGUUUUUUUUUCUCAUUAUGUUUAGAAUUAUUUAUUUAUUUAAAUCGAGCCUCAUGCCAUUCUAUCUCAAGACUUACACCUUGCCUCAUGUAGCAAAAACACCUUAAGACUACUUUUAGCUUUUUAAAACACUGCUCAUAUACAUGUGUAAUGCUUGAGCUACUAGAUUGUGCACCUCCUUGCUUUUUUGUAUUUCCAUAGUAUCUGUUGUAUGUGAUUAUAUUUAGUCAGUAUACACAUGUUGGAUCAUCAAAGUGCCAUCAUGUAUAUGAUUCUCAUAUCCAUGCAUUUCUAGUUCUAUCAUCUUGCCUCCUCGUAUUGUGUGUUGCCAUAGUAUCUGUUUAAUUCAAUAAUAAGCAUAGACUAUGCACAGAUUGGGUCAUCAAAUAUCACACCAUUAACUGAAGGAGUGUGGAUUUGAUGAGUUGACUCUUCUAUGUAUAUUCGAUUUUUAAAAAAUGCAUUAUUAGGAUCUAUUUUUGCAUGGGAAGAGUAGUUGGAAUUUGAAACAAAUGCAUUCAUAGGAAGUUAGUGGUAGCACAAGUAGAGGGCAUUGUCCUGGAAAAUCUUCUUCAAUGGUUUGUCAUGUGCAAUGAAGCCAUUUACCCAUAGGAGAGGUAAUUUUAAAUCCAAGGUGCUAUUAAGACAAUGGAAAGGUUGACAAGCAUUAGUCGUGCGAGAAAAACAAAAUGCAUUAUAUCUGGUCCUAGAUAGAGCGUACUGAUGAAAAUGGAUUUGUCUAGUUGGCUCCAGAUAGUUGGGCUUUUUUUGGUUAUGUUGAGUUGCAUUGCAUUAGUAAGAUCUGUAGAGCAUUACAGUUUAUCAGCUACCAGGUAGGUAAACAAUAAAUGAUGAGAGAAUUAAGAAACAAAUAGUUGGUAAUGAGAUUUGGAGGAACUGAGCUAUUGUAAUUUGGAAAGCAAAAUUUUUUUGUUCCUCUGAAUCAAGCUAAGUGGCAUAUGCUGACAAUGGAAAGGUUGACAAGCAUUAGUCAUGCGAGAAAAACAAAGUGCAUUAUAUCUGGUCCUAGAUAGAGCGUACUGAUGAAAAUGGAUUUGUCUAGUUGGCUCCAGAUAGUUGGGCUUUUUUUGGUUAUGUUGAGUUGCAUUGCAUUAGUAAGAUCUGUAGAGCAUUAUAGUUUAUCAGCUACCAGGUGGGUAAACAAAAAAUGAUGAGAGAAUUAAGAAACAAAUCGUUGGUAAUGAGAUUUGGAGGAACUGAGCUAUUGUAAUUUGGACAGCAAAAUUUUUUUGUUCCUCCGAAUCAAGCUAAGUGGCAUAUGCUGAGUUUAUUUGAGAAAAAUUGCUGACUUGGGGUGCUUUGCUGGAGUGCCUUGUUUUAAUAUAUUGCUUUUUACCCAUCAAAAGAAAAUUUGAGAAAAAUUGCUGACAAGUUGGGCUCAUCUUCAGCAUUUCAUGCCUAAUGAGGAGGUUGAGCUUGAGCUUCAUAUCAUACCAUAUGCCUCAGCCAAACCACUCUGCUUGGCUUCACAAAUUUACUUCAUGCCAUUAUAGUUGACACCAAUUCAGAAAAGUAUUCUAAUUGGCUAGCUAAGCUUUAACUGCCUUCAUGAGCGAUGCUGACUUGUUCCCUUCGUUGUUGUUUGGUAACAGGUACUUAUAUUGAUAAGAAAUGCCCCUUCACUGGCACUGUUUCUAUUAGGGGCCGCAUCUUAGCUGGCACUUGCCAUAGUGCCAAGAUGAUGAGGACCAUAAUUGUUCGAAGGAACUACCUUCACUAUGUGAAGAAAUACCAAAGGCAUGUUCCUCCAGUUAUAGUUGUGAAUGGGUAUUUUUACUUUCCCCAGAAUUUGCUUUUCAAGUAGUUGACCAUUUUUUCUUCUUUGCUGCAUUCAGAUAUGAGAAGAGGCACUCAAACAUUCCUGCUCACACAUCGCCAUGCUUCCGUGUGAAGGAAGGAGAUCAUGUUAUUAUUGGCCAGUGCAGGUAAAUCUUCAAUUGAAACUACCUCCAGUUUGUCCUUCCAAUAAAAAGUUGAUUUAGAGGGUGGUGAACUCUGUGUUUGUUACUGAACAUAAUGUUGUUUCUUUCUAUAUUUUCCUUAUUCAGGCCACUAUCAAAGACAGUAAGGUUCAACGUUUUGAAAGUGAUUCCUGCUGGAUCUUCUGGUGGAGGUGGGAAGAAGGCUUUUACUGCAAUGUGAAGUUUGGCUUCUAGUUGUCAGUGUCAAGGGUAAACAUCAUGGAGCUUGAGAGGGUUGGUUAUAUGAGAGUAGACCUUUGCAAUCUUGAACAGCUUCAAGAUUGAAAUAUUUUGAUGGAUUCUUUUUCUUUUUUCCUUAAAUUAAAUGUUGGAGUUUUUGAAGAUGCCCAAUGGCAUAUGGAUUACAAAUAGGAUGAAGAUCUAUGAUUUUUUGGAUUCCACAGAAUUAGUUGCCUCAUUUGUCAAGUGGCUCUUGGAUGAAUGUGAUUCCAAUUCUUGGAAAUGCAUGAAUGUUGGCACCUGGUUCUCACGGUGUCCUUCAAUGGCUGAGGACAGCUAUGAACAACAGACUACCCAGGGUUGCUAAUCUUGUCCAUUUGCAGCUGGAAACAGGGCAGGAAGUCCUUUGUUUUCCACCAGCAAUGAAUGGUUAGCCCAUUUUCAGAUGUACUUUUGAUGUGGAGGAGACAACGAGACAUUGUUUGGACUUUAUCACAGCUUGCACUGCAUGCACAUGCUCAUGUUUGUGCACAUGGAAUUCUGCUGGUAUUGUGUUCGUGUAGAAAAUAAUUUUGACCUAGUCACCAGCUGCACCAUAACCCUUCUAACCCCAUACUUCUCUGAUUCUCAAAACACUUGCUUAUCAUACCUUCAAUUUCAUCAGAAUUUGAUGGGAGUUAAAUCACUUGAAAUUAUUUCCGUUACUGAUACGCAAUUAUUUUGGCCCACUGUGAAUGGUAUGGAAUGCACUCAUCUCCAUGUGAAUACUGAUUGGGAGGUCUAGGUCUAGGUCUAGGUGUAGCUAGUUUGUGAUAAGGUUAGAACUUGGAAUUUGAAAAUAUGCCGAUGAGACAAGCAAGUCCGACAGGUUAAGAGAAGGUUCCUCCAAUUUAAUAGCCAUACGUAGGUAAAAUAUACAUACCUUUACCAAAACGCACCACUACAUUGGAUGUUUCCCACCCUUUUGAUUCUCCCCUUUUGACUCAUGGUUCAGCACUUUAUGAUGAAUACGCAAAUUCCUAUUGUUGCCACAUUUUUUUACUGUGGCAUGGUGUGGAAAAUGUGUGGCUCUCGCACCACUUUUCGUGUUGUUGACUCAAGAUUGAGAGGUUAUUAUUACUUGUUUGGCCAGCUCAUUUCCAGAAAUAAACAUUCACGAAUCGUGUUCACACCCUGUUCUGGGCCUUCUAGCGCUCCAAAAACAGGUCUUGUCUCCACAUUUGAUGACUCUCCUGCAGCAGCAGAAAUAGUUGACUCUGGCCACCAUCUUCCAUCAAAAUUCAUUUAUUAUGAGACAGAGGGUGAUUGAUGGCCAUUGAUUCUAUCUUAAUCUAAUGCAUUGUCAUUUAUCAUGGUCGCGAUCUGGCUGGAUAGUGGAUACUAAUAGCCAACCAUGAAAUCAUUUUGGUCAGACACUAUCCUUUUGUUAUUGGGUAUCUUCAGCUUUUGGUGAGGUUUGGUUGCGAAUUUGCUUAGACCAAGCCACUUUUGGCAUCUCGCCUUCAUUUUCUCACGCCCCAGAAGAAAAUGUUUUCUUAUUAAAACAGUUAUAAUCAAUAGGGUCCACACAAUUGGAAUUUCCUUUGGUAAAAGAAGGCCAUGAUUUGGUUAGAAGAAAGAAAGCAAAAAUUGUUUCCCCACCCUUCAUUUUCUUAAUGGGGCUGUUGGGGAUAUAUGUGGAGAGACAAUGUCCAAGAAUCAAUGGUUAAAACCUAAACAGAGCAAAAGCAUUGAGUGCAUUUAUGCCAAAAGGCAACUGUCUUCUUCACCAUUACCUGUAGUGACUUGUGACUUUGAUCGGAUAGUAUUAUGCCACGUCAUACUCCACCACGUUGGUCUUUCCUAUACCACGUGUCACUUUAGUCCUACCAAAUUGAGGAAAUAAAAAGAUUCCUUUUGAUUUGCCACCAAAUAAAUAACAAAAUAAUACAAAAUUGAGAAAAGUAUUCCCAUUCGUAGGGUUGGUCCCUCGUAUUCUAAUGACCCCAAGACAAAGUUGGAAUCUUAACAGCAAUUUAGGUUUUCCACUAUUCAAUUAAUUUCACGUGCCAUGGUUGCUAACUCGUAACUCGGUUACUCGACUCAACUCAAAAUCUGAACAACCAGGUUCAAUUAUUCUUAAUUUUUACAAAAUUAUUUUUAAAAUAUACUUUAAUGCUACCUCUAUUAGUAUGGACUUCUAAAGUAUACUCACUCUCAUAUACUUUAAUUUAUUUCUAAUUUGUAUGGUAUUUUAUGAGUUAACCCAUUGGAUUCACCUUGAAGAGGGGGUUGAGGUAACUCGGCCGGGUUUCUAUCAGGCAGUCCAAAUUUUGGAAGAUGGGCAGAAGACAAAGUGAAGAACAAUAAUAUAAGAAAAAGGUGGUGGUGGUGGUUUGUGAGGGCUGAGGGGGAGUUGCAGAAAGCCAUCAAAGUAAAACUUGAGCUAAGAAAGUGGGGAGGGAGAGAUAUUUUGAGAGAGAGAGAGAGAGAGAGAGAAGAUUAUGGGACGAGUAGCUUUUUUGUAGAAAGCAAAAAAGAGAAAUCUAAGGUCACCGUCUUCCACGGCAUUGCUCAUUGGCCCACUCUCCUCCACCCCACGUCUUUUCAUUCACACUAGCACCGUGAUUGCCCCCAAGACCUCAUUUUCAAAGGCCUGCUCACAUAAUUAUCCCUAAAAAUAUAGUAACAUCCACUGAUUGGACUUCCAGAUAUUCUUCUCCAACAUUUUUAAAAACACAUCGCCCUCUUUAUCUUUGUUUGUUGCAAAUUGCAAUUGCAUUAAUUUAAUCAGUUUUCAGGGUGAUGACAUCCCCCAAACAACACCUCAUUAUCACUUUGGAAAAUAAAAAAUCAAAAAAUAAAAAUGCCCAAAGAUACCAAACCCCUCAACUUGCAUAAAUAAUGGAAGGGAAGGGAAGGGAAGGGAAGAAGGGAUGGGAAUCCAAGCCUCUGAACCUUUAAAGGGUUUCUUUAUUCCACAACAAAUCUGCAAAUUUACAUGCUGUAGAUGGGUAAAAAGUAAAAACACAAGGGCAUUGGGGCACUGAUUUAAUUGGUUUUUCAGAUGUCCAUUACAUCCUAUAAUUGUAAAGCAAUCAUUGAAACUUCUUAAUCUCUGUUUGGAAUUUUCUCAUCAGCUCACCUACCUUUCUCAGAUAUUAUUAGAUAAGGCUAUAUAUGGUUGUACUUGUACCUUCUUCCCCAUGAAUUUAAAAUCAAUUCAAAGCAUUAGAUUGAAGGGGCAAAUUUUAUUUGUACUUAGCUUUCCUCUUCGUAUUUGCUUUUUCUUUCAAGACAAAUAAUCAUUGCUUCAAACUCAGACUGAAGUCUCAAUACAAUCAUAUUGAUUGGAUUUGUACCACGGUUUGAUUACAGGACUUCACUCCAAAAUUUUGGUAAAUUCAAAAGGAAAAUCAAGGGAAAUUUGAAAUUUCUCCUUGGAUUUCUUCAAAUAUCAAUUCAAUUAUACUUAGAUCUAAAAAGAUUAUCACAGAUCCCAACCCACAAAAAUAAAAUCAAAUAAAUUAAUACCAUGAAUUUUUAUUUUUUAUUUUUUUUAAAAAAACAUAGUGGGUAAUGAUGUCAUUCAAAUAUGCAGCCGGAUAUGACUAAGAUUUCAAAAUAAUAAUAUAAAUAAAUAAAUAAAAGAAAAAAAAAAAGUGUCACCAAACUUAUUUUCAGCCACGCUUUCGUAGAAAAAAAAUCUGGAAUUAACGGCUCUCUUUCUCUGUAAAACACUCUGUAGAUUUCCAUUUGUGAGGAGCUAUAAAAGAGAGCCACCAUUUGUCUGUCCAAGAAAGAUUUCCAACAUAUUCUGAGAAUCUUCCUCCCACAAUCCCAUUAUUUUUUCAGAGUCUCUCUGCUUCUUCUCAUAACUUGAGCGAUUCACCAUGUGUGUCAAGGACUCUGAACAGGUCUCUGAAGAAAUGGAGAAUUCUAGUCUAAGUGAUCAUGAUGCCACCAAGUUGGGUAAUUCAUUUCCGGUGAGAGUUUUAUUCAUUUGUUUGUUCGAAUUUUUGGAGUUUUUCGUUCUUGAAGACCCCUUUGGUGGGAGUAUGCUUGUGAGUGUUUGUUUUCUUUCCGGGAGAAAAGGUUGAUGUGGGUUUUUUUGUGUUUUUUGUUAUGUUUGGGUGCUCGGAAAAGAAUGGAAAAGAGAAAGGAAUUAAAAUUCGAAUAUUGAAGCAAGCGAGCAUAGGAUUAUUUUUAUUUCACUUUGUUGUUUUGCUUCUGUGGAAGACACAUUUGGUUGGAAUUGGUUUCUGGAUGUCUGUUUUUUCUAUGCGAAUGAUGAUCGAUAAGGUUUUUGUUUUAUGCUUUCCAAGAAAGAGUAGGAAAUGCAACUGGAAUUGGGUUUAGCUUGUUCAUAAAACCGGUUCCAAUUUUCGAUUUUCUCUUCUUUUCAUCUGUUUUUCGGCGACGAAACCGAGGUUAACUUUCCUGUGCUUAUAUAUAUAUUUUUCCCUUCCGUUUAGAAUUCCCUUCUUUUCUUUUCUUUUUCUGUGUGUGUGGCGAGACGAGAGGAGAAGGAAUCAUACAAUCCUCCUUUAUGCUCUGUUUGGCUGCUGAGAAAUGGGCAGAAAAAGAAUGGAAGUUGGAAGUUUUGAAUCUUAGAUUUUUAUUGAGGCGGAUUAUUCUAUUUCGGUCAUUGGUUUCUUCUGAAACCAAAAACAGUCCGGGAGCAUAUGAGUUUGUCCCUUUCUUUUCUUUCCAUCAGUUUCCUCAGCACCCUGAUGGAUUUUAUUUCCUUUAUCUGUGAUUAAGAUGCGUUCCUAUUUUUGUGAACUGUUCCUGGUAGAUGGAUGUUUAGCUUGAGUUGCUUACUGGCAGGUGGGAGAAACUAACCAUCUGUGAUUUAUUAUGCUGAAUUGACUAUUUGGUGUUGCUUUCAUAUUCAAUUGGACCGACAAGUCAUUGGUCGGAUUGUAUGGGUUAGGUGCUGGGAGAGGUUAGAAAUUCUAAACUCCUUAUAGGCAUUAAUGACAACGGGUUAAGGCGGCGCCCUUCCAAAACCUUUACCUUCAUUCUAAUUUUUUUUUCAUCAGUUCAGAUUAGGUUGAUGAGAUUAUGGAAUUUUCUUUUUCUUUUUUAUUUUUUUUCAGAGUAAGAACCAAAAUCAUGUAUUCUAUAUGAACAUUUUUUUCCCUCACUCUGAUUGCUUUCCCAAUUAAUUGGUGGCUAUCAAUUUGGACUUCAUUGAUCCCAUUGUGUUAAGCCUAUCUUCAUCCUUCCUGGUUUUUUUUCCUUUUCUGAAUUCUGUGGUUGCAUCUUUAUUGAAUCAGAUCCUUAUACUUUUCUGGUGGAAUUAAAUUUUCUUCUCAAAGCAUCUUAAACGGCCACUUCUAACUAACUGGUGGUUGGAGGAGGUGAUGGUGCAACUUCCUCUAAGCAGCCCUUGGCAUCCAUUGAGGCCGAGUACAAUUAUUUGAAUAUUUUAUUCGACUUUUUCCUUUUUACUCUCAGCCGACAUCUCACAGUUCAGUGAAACAUUAACUUAAUUCAACUCAAGAAAGCCUUAGCUAAAGAGGCUAAACCGAAUCUCUUUUUCACCAUUAUGCUCUGUCUGAGGUCGCGUUCAAUACAGCUAAAAAUGCUAAGUUAAGAGGGUUUUACACUGGUUGGAAGCAUAAGGUAGCAUGUUUUCCUCCGAGUCCUGGGAACAACUGUUUAAAUACAUCACACGCUAACCCUUAUAUCGACAGAGCUUGAUCAAUUCUUGUAUGCUGUUGGAAAUUUCGACUUCAAAUAGUUGCAAUUUAAGGCUCUUUGGUUACUGUUGUAGAAAUCCUGUGUCCAAAUGGCAGUACAGGAGAAAGAUGAGUUUAGGAACUGCGUUUGAUAUUUUAUACAGGCUCUCAAUUGAGGCUUUCUUUUGGUCACAUGGAACAAGCACUUGGGUUGCGUGGACCCAUAGACUUAGUCUCUGUCAUGCUGUGUAAACUAUUAUGUUUUGUUUGAGGCACUUUACUUAGAUUUCUCUUUACUGUUGGUGAUCGGUUUGUGUUACUCCUCAGUAACUUGAAUUUUUGUAGCAUAAUCGUAUUUAUUUCAUUUAUUGAGAUUGCACCUUCUUCCAGCCAAAGGUUAUACUGGUUGGUGAUUAGUAAAAUGAACGAUGACUAAUUCUCUUAAAAAAUUGUCUAUGAACUAGUCCGAUGAUUUACCACUUAAAAAUGAGUUAACUUAGUUUCAACAAUACAUCAAUAAAUAAAAGUAACUUUGUUCAUUUUCGGACUUAAUCUUAUCCUGUAACUUGUUUUUGCUUCCAGCUGCAAAGCAUUUCAGAAGAUAAAGUGGCUUCAGACAAAGAACAGAACCUGGUAUCCAUCUUUGUCCCUGCUCUUCGAUCAGGGGAGUGGUCUGAUAUUGGGGGUCGGCCCUAUAUGGAGGACACUCACAUAUGCAUCAGUGACCUGGCUAAGAAGUUCAAUCAUAAUUUGCUUGAUAAGGAAGCUAUAUCCUUCUAUGGUGUAAGUUCUUCACCCUAGUUAAGUUGAAUGUGUGUUGUUCCUGUUGUUUCAAUCUGUCACAUGCAUUUUUUGUUUUUUUAGCAUGAUCUCCUGCUAGAUUAUAAACAUGAAUCCUUCUUUCUUGAUGAACUCUUUUGUAUGAAAACAAAAAUAUGGAGAUUUUCAGUUCUGGCACUAAUUUGACGGGAUUAUUCAGCAUAGCUUGCCUACUUGGAAAUGCAUAGCAGGCUUAGGGGUCACACACUGAAGUCAUAGGGAGAAAUGCUGUGGUUUCUGUUUUCCUUUUCUAAUUUCUAAUUGUCAGUUUAAACUAUAAUGUUUGGUUGAAGGGGUCUUUAAAAUUUUAAAUAAAUUGGAACUUUCUUGUUGCUUCUAGGCAUGUUUGGAGGUUGAUAGACCUUGUCUUUUAUAGGAAAUGAAAUCUAGAGAAAUUCAAAAGUUGAUAAACCUAAAAUAUCAUGUGGAUGAGAAUUAGCUACCUUUGUUCUGUCCUUGGUAAUUUCGAGUUAUAGCUUGUUGAUCAGAUAGCUGCAUCUUGUUCUAGUUUGGGAGUGACCAAGGAUGGAAAUAACCUGAAUAUAGUUGGAUGUAGAAGCAUUUCAUUAAUCCUUUCUUUUGGUACGAGGUACAUGACAGCCAUGAAAUUGACAUUGCAAAUAAAUAUAAUUGUGGUUUUAUCAGCGCAAGCCUUAGAACUAUGUUGUUUCACAAGCUGUCGGAAAAGGAGCAAAAUAUAUGUUUGUAUGACUAAGACCCUAGCACUCUGAUUUGAAAUAGAAGGUUUAGUUUUUGAUAUCUGCCUGCCAAACAGUAAUUUAAUGGAAUCACUUUUAAGCAUGGAAAAAAAAUAGAGAAAAAGUGGAAAAGAUAAGAAUGCUAGACUAAAGGAGUAAAAUUGCAGAUGUUUGACUCAGCUCUAGGAAUCUAAAAUAGCAAUGGUUUUGAAUAACAGGUAUUUGAUGGUCAUGGAGGAAAUGCUGCAGCGCAGUUUGUCCGUGACCACUUGCCAAGGGUCAUUGUCGAGGACGCUGAUUUCCCCUUAGCACUGGAGAAGGUAGUUAUGAGGUCAUUUAUAGAGACAGAUGCUGAAUUCGCAAAGACAUGCUCUCUUGAGUCUUCCCUGUCUUCUGGCACAACUGCACUUACAGCGAUGAUAUUUGGGAGGUAAGCUUCUCCCAUCAUUCAGUGCUAUUUGGAUUUUUUCUUUCUUUAUAGUUGGGAUUCCUUAUGCAAUUAUGUGAUCAAAUAAUCUAUGGCCAUUAAAUAAAGUAGAGUUGCAGUUGUGCAACCUGUAAAAGGGUGUAAAGGUGGAUUGCUGAGUUGAGAAAAACUGAAUCAAUUGAAGAAGAGCAUGAUGACAACCAAAAACCUUCACACCUUUCGGAAUUGUUGAAUCAUUUCCAAUGGUGCAUCUGUUUGCUUCCUCUCAUGGAAAUUUUUUUUAAGAAUGAAGUGAAGGUCUUUUUUCCAAUGACUGUUCUUUGGUUGGCGUGAAUUUGUGAAGUUAACUUUUUCUGUGAUGAUAAUACCGUACAUUGUGCCAUGCAUUAUAGAUUCUAUUCUGGGCAGGUCUUUGCUUGUGGCAAAUGCUGGGGAUUGCCGGGCAGUGCUGUCACAGCUCGGAGUGGCUAUAGAAAUGUCGAAAGAUCACAGGCCAUGCUGCACAAGAGAAAGGAGCAGGAUUGAGUCCCUGGGUGGAUACAUUGAUGAUGGGUAUCUAAAUGGUCAGAUAUCCGUCACCCGUGCGCUUGGUGAUUGGCACCUUGAAGGACUGAAAGAUAUUGGUGAAAGGGGUGGACCUUUGAGUGCUGAACCAGAACUUAAACUAAUGACACUAACCAAAGAACAUGAGUUCUUAAUCAUAGGCAGUGACGGAAUCUGGGAGGUGUUUAGGAGCCAAAAUGCAGUAGAUUUUGUCCGGAGGAGACUCCAAGAGCACAACGAUGUGAAGCUAUGCUGCAAGGAAGUAGUUGAGGAAGCAAUUAAGCGUGGAGCAACAGACAAUCUCACGGUUGUGGUAGUGAGUUUUCACUCUGAGCCACCACCACUGAAGGAGGUGGUACGAAGGGCAAGAGUGACAAGAAGCAUUUCAGCAGAGGGGCUUCAAAAUCUCAGAUCUCUGUUAGAAGGAUAGAAGUUUAUUUCACUUAUUUUUAAGUGAAGGAGAGAACCAAUUGAAUAAUUAAUCACGUAGCUAAUAAGCGGAUAUUUGGUAGAGGCCUGCUUGUAUAUACAUUCAUUCGGGAAGUAGAUGAUAGAAACUGCAUCUUCUUUCUUCUUUACCACUGGAGCUCCAUUUGAUUUUCAGAAAGAUGAUGUUUGUAAUGAUUUCUCUCUUGCUGUCUUAUUGACAAUCAAAUGGAGCUUUAGAAUGGUUGAAGGGAGAUGAGUCAUUCCAAAGUGCAGGGGAGUGGGGGACUUUGAUCUGUAAACGGUUGUGAUUCUAGAACUGUAUGUAUAAUCCCUUCUUGGUCAUAUAAAAAUGUGUACAUAUUCAGUACCCUUCGACAAUAUAAACAUUUUUAUUCCUCUUUUUUCGGUUUAGGUUGAGUGGGGCGCAUUUGUAAUUCAGCAGCUCAAAAGGUGGAAUGUGAUUCACAGGUGCAAGGGUAAGUUGUUUGACCGCAUAUUAGCAGCUCAUACCCUGAACAAUCAACUGUCCCAAUGCGUGGUGUGUUCAAGGUUGCAGUUGAUUCAGCAAGUCUUCCAAAUCAAAGCAAAGAGGGCCCAGAAAGAGUAUGUAAAUCCCAACAUGCAUUUGUGUGCAUUUCUCAUAAUCAUACAAAAGAUGGAACCAUUUCAUUGCAAAUCCAAUUGCUCAAUACACAUAUCAGAUUUUCUGAAGAAGCAGUAGAAAGAGUGGAGCACAUUACUAUUGAAUUCCCUUCUUUCCCUUUCAUCGCCAUCUUAACAAUAAAAUAUUCUAAUAGUCGCAGAGGCACAAUUGAAGCAAGCAAAAUUCUCAAAAAUUCUAAUAACAGGUUUUCGUUUUUAAAUGUAAAACAUGGCACAAUGUAGCAAUGGAGGUGAAAAGCUAAUACCCUUUUUUGCCUUCCACAUUGCGAAAUGGUAGCACAAGCAGCUUCACCCAGUCCCCACUGCAUAAAUGUUGAUAAAAAGAAUCUAAGCAGAACCGGUCCCAUGUUCUCCAAUAAUGAGAACCAGCAUAAAGUUCAAAGCAUCAACAGAUGAGAUUUGGUGCCUCAUUGUCUCAUCACAUGACACCCGCAUGCAUACAUACACCAUUAGACUGCAAGGUCAGAAGCGCAGUGACUUGACUCAUUCUUCCUUCUCCAUUGUCAAAUUUCAGUGGCACCAUUCUGGUGACUAUUAAUCUCUGGCUUUAUACUUCAAGUUGGCAGUACUCUGCUACAGGACACAAUGAUAACUAGGCUGUUUUUCACAUGAGAUGCCCUUUACAAGAUCUCGGCAAACUAUAGGUAUAUCUGAGCACUUUUUGAAAGUCUUGGGACAUAUGCUCAAAACCUGCCAUUUAAGUCAUAGUUAGCUAGUUGUAAUUACUAUAUUUUGAGAAAAGUGUGAUCACCUAUGAACUUUGUUCCAAAUAUGGAAGCUAAUGGCCUGUUUAGCAACUGUUUUUUAGAACAGUUUUUUGUUCUUCGGAACAAAAAAUCAGAAAAACACGUUUGACAAUAAAAAACUGUUUGUUGUUCUAAAGAACAAAAAACAAGGUGUUUUCAAAUAACUUUAUUUAAUUGUUUUCUGUUAUUUUUAGUUGUUUUCUAAGGGUUGUUUUAAAAAAAUAAUUAUACAAAUAUGCAAAAUGAUUAAAAAUAAAACACUAGAAAUAAAACUUAUUUUAAAAAUAUUAAAAAUAGGUCAAAUACAUUUUAGUUUUUCAAACAAACUUUUAUUCUACAAAACAUCAUAAAAUAGUUUUCAAAAAUUGUUUUAAAAAAUAUUUUAGAAUAGUUUUCGAAAACAGUUAUCAAACAAACCCUAAGAAUCAGACAAAAGUCUGUAAUUGAUUAAAAAUAAAUAAAUAAAUAAAUAAAGUAAAAACAAAUAAUUAAAAAUUAAAAUUAAAAAAAUAAAAACCAAGAAGAAGAAAAAGAAAAAACAUUGAAAGGAGAGCUAUGAAAAUUCUAUAUUUAGAAAAAGAAAAAAUGUACAUAUGGAACACAUGCAAAUUCUGGGAAUAACAAAGCGGAAGCAGAAAAAAAGUGCAGAAACUUUGCUAAAUUUACCUUUCUCAUGAUUUAAAGAUGAGUGUGGCCGAUCAGUUCUGUUCCAUAACCUGUGUUCAUAUAUACCACCCUACACAAACAAAACCAAACCAUCAUUAACUGCACCAGUUUUACUACCUGGGUCAGCCAAGAAAAAAACAGAUUGGUUGGGAAUGCUCCAGCCUCUGGAGCAAGAAAAUAGGGAAACAAAAUGAAAAGCACAAACCCAGCACAAAAAACAGAAAUUGCACAACUAAACUACAAAAGGAAGGCCCUAAAGAACUGGGAAGAGCUCAAGACACAAACAGAGAGUAUUAGAGAGAUAUCCUUAUUUCUAGGGAAAGAAUGCUCCACCAGCUCAAAAGCCCUACUCUAUUUCAAUAGAGGAGCUGUCUUCCAUAAUAUCCUCUUACCUUCCUAACAACCUCCCAUGACGCCUCUUAAAAAUCUCCAUUCACCAUUGCGACCCUACGAAAAGAAAAAAAAGAGAGCAAACACCAGCUACAAUGGAGAAGAGGAUAAUUCACUGUUUCCUCUACUUCUCCACACAAACAGCAUUUAAUUAUUAACUGUGAGUAUACUGCUUGAAAAGCCUGCUCAAAAAAAAAAAAAAAAAAAGAAACCUUCGAAAGGACCAAACUACACCAAGCUUUUCUCCAGGCAUACCACACCUCCUGCACAGAAGAUAAAAAAAACUUCUUCACAUAAACCUCCCUCAUUCAGAACCCUUCCAACACAAUAUAUCCUCAUUAACUGUUGAGAAUCUCAAUCAUAUCAGAAUUUUUCUGAUCUGGUUGUUACUUAUUUUUUAGGGAUAAUCCGGGAAUAAUUUGUUGUUGUUUUUUAGGGUUAAGUUGUAUAUUUUAAAUUUAUUUUGUUCCUAGAAAUUUGGGUGUACAACUAUAGAUUUAGUUUGAUUUCUUGUAACUUUUCUAUAAAAGGAAGCAUGUUUCCCUUCCUUAUUCAAUUUAAUAUACGACAUUUUUUUUUCUUUUCUACAUGGUAUCAGAGCCAAGUUAAUUGACUAUUCCCUUUCUUUUUCCUCUCAUUCUUUCCAGUUCUGUUCUUCUUCCCUUUUUGUUUCUAUUGCUAUCUCUUUACCAUGUCAGAAAUUUCCGAAUCUACUCCUUCCAUUACUGUUGGUUUCAAUUCCUCAAAAUUACCCACAUCCAAUUCUCACUCCCACUCUGUCCAAAUCACCACAAUCUGCCUUAAUGAGAACAAUUUUCUCAAAUGGUCACAAUUUGUUCAGAUGUACAUUAGGGGCCGAGGCAAAAUUGGUUAUUUGAUUGGUGACACCAAAGAACCAGCGAAGACAGACCUUAGCUAUGCCACUUGGGAUGCGGAAAAUUCCAUGAUCAUGACAUGAUUGGUAAAUUCCAUGGAGGAGGAGAUUAGCUCAAAUUAUAUGUGUUAUCCUAUUGCCAAAGCUCUUUGGGACAACAUUAUUCAGAUGUAUUCAGACCUUGGAAAUCAGUCCCAAAUCUAUGAGUUACAACUCAAACUAGGCGAUAUUUGUCAAGGUGAGAAUUCGGUUACCAAAUAUUUUAAUGUGCUUAGGGGUUUAUGGUAGGAUCUUGACUUAUUCAAUGACUAUGAGUGGAAAAAUACGGAUGAUUUUAACUAUUUUAAGAAGAUGGUAGAAAGUUCACAGAUAUUCAAAUUUUUACUUGGGCUUAAUAUUGAGUUUGAUUAAGUUCGGGGUAGAAUCAUUGGUUGGCAACCUCUCCCUUUUCUAGGUGAAGUGUUUUCCUAAGUGCGUCAUGAGGAAAGCCAGAGGAAUGUUAUGCUUGGGAAGAAGCUCCUUAGACCUGUGGAAAACUCAACCUUGUUGAGCACUACAACAGUGACUUCUCGCAAUCCUAAUAACCGAUGUUGUCAGGAUGACAAGCUAAGAGUUUGGUGUGAUCAUUGUAAUAAACCACGCCACACUCGUGAAACCUACUAGAAAUUACAUGGAAAGCCAACUAAUUGGAAGCCCGUUGAAUGGAAGACUAAUAAGCAAGGCGACUAUAAUCGUUUCCCUGCAAAAGCACAUGCUACCGAGACACCCUCAUUGAGCAAAGAACAAUUAGACCAACUGCUACAGCUGCUAAAACCUGCUCUGCCAACUCCUGGUACUCCUAUAGCAUCUCUAGCUUAGUCAGGUAGUCUUUCGUGUGCAUAUUCUCUUUCAUUAUCUGUACCUUGGAUCAUAGAUUCAGGCGCAUUUGACCACAUGACUAAUUUAUCUCAUUUGUUUAUUUUUUAUACCUUGUUCUGGAAAUAAAAAAAAGUACGUAUUGCAAAUGGAAGCUUAUCUUCUAUUGUUGGGCAAGGCUCUAUCCGUUUGUCUGAUAAGAUUGUUUUACAAUAUGUUUUACAUGUCCCAAAAAUCUCUUGUAAUCUCUUAUCCAUAAGUCGUUUAUCUAAGGAUUCUAAUUGUCGUGUUGUUUUUUGUGCCUCUCUUUGUGAAUUUUAGGAUUUGAACUCGGGGAUGAUGAUUGGCUAUGCUAGAUUGAUUAACAAUCUCUACUAUUUUGAUGAUAACCGGUUUGAGAAUAAACAAGCUCAAGGUUUUAUUAGUUGUGUUCGUUCAAUCCCUGUGCAUGAUCAAAUAAUGCUAUGGCAUAACAGACUAGGACAUCCUAGUUUUUUCUAUUUAAAACAUUUGUUUCCAAGUUUAUUUAAAGGAAUGGAUUGUACUUCUUUUGAUUGUGAAACUUGUUUAUAAAAUAAAAGCCUUUUUAUUUGAUACAUCGUGAUGUUUGGGUCCUUCUAGGAUUACUACUUUAACUGGGAAAAAAUGGUUUGUGACAUUUAUUGAUGAUCACACACGCCUAUGCUGACUUUAUCUGAUGAACUCUAAUUCUGAGGUUGCAAAACUCUUUCAGGAUUUUUAUUCUAUGGUUGAAAACCAAUUUCAAACCAAAAUAAAUAUUCGUUGGAGCGACAAUGGAACAAAAUUUUAUAAUGAUUGUUUAGGUGAUUUUUUUGCUAAAGAAAAGUAUUUUACAUCAAUCAACUUGCAGGGACACUCCUCAACAAAAUGGAAUUGCAGAAUGUAAAAACAGACAUUUACUUGAAGUAGGUAGAGCUCUUAUGUUUUAUAUGAAUGUUCCUACACACCUUUGGGGGAAUGCAAUUUUAACAAGUUGUCAUUUGAUUAAUAGAAUGCCUACAAGGGUUCUAAACUAUGCAACACAUUUACAAACUCUUAAGAAUACUUUUCCAAACACAUGCCUCACCUCGGAUUUACCCUUAAAAAACUUUGGUUGUACAGAGUUUGUCCAUGUGCCAACUCAUUUUCGAUCCAAAUUUGAUCCAAGAACCAAAAAAUGUAUUUUUCUAGGUUAUACUCCUAAUAAAAAAGGGUAUAAGUGUUUUAAUCCUACCACUAGGAAAAUUCAUGUUAGUAUGGAUGUCAACUUUAUUGAAAAUAUUCCCUUUUAUAACAAAACUACUCUUCGGGGGGGCGCUCUAAUGAAGAUCGGUUUUGGCAACAAGAACAACCAAAACCUAGUUUUUUUUUUUCCUGAAAUAAAUCAAAAAACAGAUGUUUUAAUUAGUGAAAAAGGAGGAAAUACUGAUUUAUCUAUGCCAAACAAAAUUGCAUCACAAACAGGGGGAGAAACUCUACAACCUAUGUCCACUGAGUUCCAUGUUUAUAUUAGGCGCAAAUUUAUUUCUAAUACUGAGAAUAAUCAAGUCAAUCUCGAGCAUGGUCAAUCAUCAGCUCCUAGUUCUCAAAAUCCAGGUAAUCUUCCUAUGGACUCCACUCCUUUACCUAUUUCUGAUCUUGAUAUUCCUACUACAAUCCGAAAAAGAGUUAGGAAUUGUACCAAAUAUCCCAUUGCCAAAUAUCUAUCUUAUCAAAGACUCUCAGGAAAAUAUAGAACUUUCACUUCAAAUAUCUCUCACUUAUUCAUUCCAAGAACUAUACAAGAAGCACUAAGACACUCAGAGUGGGGAUCAGCAGUUCAAGAAGAAAUGAAUGCUCUUUUGAAAAAUAGAACAUGGGAAAUUGUUGAUUUACCUAAGGAGAAGAAGACAGUGAAAUGCAAGUGGGCUUUCACAAUCAAGUGUAAGCCCAAUGGUAGCAUUGAAAGAUAUAAAGCAAGGUUAGUAGCCAAAGGUUUCACACAAACCUAUGGAAUUGACUACCAAGAGACCUUUGCACCUGUUGCAAGGAUCAAUUCCAUUCGGAUUUUGCUUUCUCUUACAGUACAUUUUAAUUGGCCUUUACACCAAUUAGAUGUGAAAAACGCUUUCUUAAAUGGUGAUUUUGGAGGAAGAAGUGUUUAUGGAUUUACCAUCGGCUUCCGAAGAAAAGCUAGAAAAAAAAAAAGGUUUGCAGAUUAAAUAAGUCCUUGUAUGGUCUUAAGCAGUCUCCUAGGGCUUGAUUUGAGAGAUUUGGAAAAGUAAUCAAGCUUCGAGGAUAUAUUCAAAGUCAAGUUGACCAUACAAUGUUUUAUAAAUACUCAAGAAAAGGAAAGAUUGUUGUGUUGAUAGUUUAUGUGGAUGACAUUAUUCUAACUGGUGAUGAUAGUCUAGAAAUUGAGAGAUUGAAGAAAGCUUUAACUUGUGAAUUUGAGAUAAAAGAUUUGGGUCCCCUGAGAUACUUUCUUGGUAUGGAGUUUGCUAGAUCCAAGAAAGGUAUUUUCAUUUCUCAAAGAAAAUAUAUACUUGACUUAUUAAAUGAAACAGGUUUACUUGAAUGUAAGGCUAUAGAAACUCCUAUAGAACCAAAUUUGAAACUCCAACCAGCAAGUCCAGUAGAGGUGAUUGACAAAGAGAAAUAUCAAUGCCUAAUUGGGAUACUUAUUUAUCUCUCUCAUACUUGUCCCAAUAUUGCUUUUGCAGUAAGCAUGGUUAGUCAAUUCAUGCACUCACCAAAUCAAGGACACUUUGAUGCAACGUACAGAAUUUUAAGGUACUUAAAGGGGACUCCAGGAAAAGGACUUCCAUAUGAGAACCAAGGACAUCUCCAAGUGGGUGUGUUUACUGAUGCAGAUUGGGCAGGAAGUGUAAUUGAUAGGAGAUCAACUUCAGGGUAUUGUACUUUUGUUGGAGGCAAUCUUGUGACUUGGCGGAGUAAAAAGCAGAGUAUUGUGGCUAGAAGUAGUGCUGAAGCUGAGUUUAGAGUCGUAGCCCAUGACAUUUGUGAAGUUUUGUGGAUUAAACAAUCACUUGAAGAACUUAAGGUUGCUAGCCCUUUACCUAUGAAGGUCUUUUGUGAUAAUAAAGACGUCAUUGCCAUUGCACUUAAUGCAGUCCUCCAUGAUAGAACUAAACAUGUCGAGGUUGAUAAACAUUUUAUCAAGGAGAAAUUGGAAAAUAGACUGAUUGUUAUGCCCUAUAUACCUACGGUUGAACAAGUUGCAAAUAUACUCACUAAGGGAUUGCCAAAGAAGCAGUUUGAUGAUUUUGUAAGCAAGCUGGCCAUGAAUGACAUCUUCAAGCCAGCUUAAGGGGGAGUGUUGAAAAUCUCAAUCAUAUCAGAAUUUUUCUGAUCUGGUUGUUACCUAUUUUUUAGGGAUAAUUUGUUGCUGUUUUUUAGGGAUAGGCUGUAUAUUUUAAAUUUAUUUUGUUCCUAGAAAUUUGGGUGUAUAGUUAUAGAUUUAAUUUGAUUUGUUGUAACUUCACUAUAAAAGGAAGCAUGUUUACCUUCCUUACUCAAUUUAAUAUACGACAUUUUUUUUUUCUUUUCUACAUUAACCUUUUCCUAAAUCGCUUGAUACCAAAGGCAUAAGAAAUUAUCAGUAGACUCCAUCUCCAGUUUGCAUACAAGGCUCAUCUGCCGGAGCUUCCCCAACAUGCCCUGGUUUUGGCCAAGGUCGAACAAACCUAAUAUCAAGGCUUGAGCAAAAACGACUACUACAGCUUCACUUACCCAAAUCUCUACAAACAGAGUGAUAAAGGAGUCAUCCUCCUCCACACCCUGUGAGUGUUGAAGACUUUUUUCUAAGUUUCUCCACAACUUCAAUCUUCAAAUUUUAUUCUAACAACCCUAAUUAUAACUGUGGCUACAGAUGUCAGUCUUCAAAGUUUAUUGGUAAAAAAAAUAACAUGUUUCAUUUCCAUCCGUAAUCCCAAGGAUCAAACAAAGGGAACUGUCCAUGUUGCAAUCAGUUAAGGAUUCCCAAAAAAACUUAACUGAAUAAAUUGAUUACUGAGAAAUAAAUUGCACAAUAGAUUCAAGACAAUUUUUGCAAAAAGACCAGGUGUGCACUGUACAUUUCACCAAUAUUCUAUGUUCUCAGUGGAACUGCCAAUAUCAUUCUUCUGGACAAUGCAACUGCUGCAAAUAAUUGGAGAUAAAUAACCCAAAGAACCAUGUGAAUGCAAAAUGCUCCACAUUUAUUGUCACAAAGUAAGACUACAUAAAUAACAAAAAGCUAUAUUUUUUUGGGGAAAAAAGGCUGGAAUGCAAUUUAAGAAUUAUAAAUUACCUUCAACAAAUUCACUAAUUCCAUAUCUUUUCAAUAAUUAGUUAAAUAAUUGCUUCUUUUUUUUUUUUUGAUAGGCAAAAAAUAAUUUAUAAAAAAGGGGGCAGAAUCCAAAUACAUAGGAAGUAUGCAAAGGUCAACAAAGGUUGGGAAACAAGUAAAGGAAACACACUAAUGCAACCCCACCCAACCCACAAAAUCAUACACGGAUAAGCAUCCCCUCCCACACAAAAUCUGAACCAAAAAAGGAAUGUCUAAAUAAAAGAAACCUUUAACAAUUAAAUCAACUUCUCCUCUCUCUGUUUUGUUGCCUUUUUGGUACUGGUGUAUGCUCCUUGUAUACUUUGGUGCACCCUCUUUUGAUUAGUGUUGUUAAUAAUAUUCUUAUUUUCCUAUCAAAAAGAAAAAAAUAAAGAAAGAAAAAAAAACAAUUAAAUCAAUGUCUCCACACCUUAAAAGUUCUUUGGUUUCUCUCCUACCAAAUAAUCCAUAACAAAUAUAAUGGGACUAACCUCCAAGAUUUCUAUGUUUUUCCCCAAAAAAAAUCUUUGUGCCAUCCUAACAAGACAUCUGACCAAUAUUCUCUGUUUUAAUUGAAAUUGUUUUGAUUUUAUAAAAAUCAAGAAAAACCACAAAGAGGAUAACUAUGGUGUGUAGUAUCUGGAUGUCAUACUCUGGGACCAACAUAGUUGACUACUAAUGUAUUGUCUAUAAUAUUCAAAAGGCUAGCUUUAAAUCUAACAGAAUAAUUUCAUAUCAAAAAAUCAAAUUAUGAUGAAAAUUUGUUUUAAGUCAAAUCUAUAACUAAAGCUCUGAAGUUUUCACAAUCCAGCUUUGGACCCAGGACGCGGGAGAGAGCAAUAUCUAAAUCCAAGGUUUAGGAUCCAAGGUAUAUUCAAGAUUGAAUUAAGUCUAGAGAACAAUUCGCAUCCAAAAUGAGGAAACGGCAAACCACAUCCUAAUUCAUUGUGGUAAGACAAGGGAUCUUUGGAACUUAUUGUUUUCUUCGUUUGGGGUGGUGUGGGUGCUCCCGGAUUCAGUGAGAAAUUUGCUUCUUGAGUGGAAAAUGAAAGGCAUGGGGAAGAAAAGGAGUGUAGUUUGGAAAAUGGCGCCUAUUUGUUUGUUUUGGUGUAUUUGGGGAGAGCGAAAUUGAAGAACCUUCCUAGAGGAAGAGAUGACAAAUACGAGCUUGAGGAAACUUUUUCUUCGGUCCCUGCUUGAAUGGUCUCAACAAUUUGUGGACUUGGAUUUGGACUAUCUAUCUUUUCGGAAUUUGAUGGGUGAUAGGGUUGUUGCUUAGCUAAUCCUUUUUAGACUUUAUUUUUCUCUUGUUGCCUUGUUUUGGGCCUUCUUUGUAUACAGCUUGUGUACUUAGGGAGCACCCCCUGUUUUCUGGCGUUUUUUAAUCUAAUGGUUCUCUUUGUCUAUCAAAAAAAAAAUUCGCAUCCAAAACCUAAAUUGAUUCUUUUAUAUUCUAAUCACUAAAUCAAAUUGACAAAUCGAUUAGGUCUUAUGUUCAUUCAUUCAAGUCAUUAGUCCAUCUUGUAGAUUUAGCUUUGGACUUAAAUCCCAAUAGAUAAAACUAAGUUAACUAGUAAUCAAGUGGUGUCUAAGUACCACUAGUACCUCAAAAAACAUCUAAUAUAUCUUAUCUAAUUAAAACCACACAGAGAGUUUCCAUUCCUUCAUAUUUAAACAUUAAAACCCUAAUCUACCAAUCUAACCUUACCAUACUGAAUUGCUCCUCCUUGUCAUCCUCCACCUUCAUGAUAUAUCUCCAAAAUUAAGGGGUUUAGCCUCUCGUGGAUGAGCUUUAACACAAAGAUUCCAAAAGAGAAAAUAAGAAAUCUAAUAUUGAAAUUUAAAGAGCAAAGAGUCUCCAACAUACAAAGCAAAAUCAAACAAAGAAUGAAAAAACUUCUUUCUAACCUAACAGUGAAGAGUAUUAAUAUCCUAAUAGCAUAUUCCCAUGGCCACUUAAACCAAAAUAAUGUUAAAAAACCCUAAAUUACAAAAAUAAUCUUCGAAAGCAGAAUUUUCUAUUUGAACUUACAAGGAAUCUAAUGAAAUUGAUUUCAAGAUAUUAAAAUAAAAAAUUUCGAUGCAGAAUCAAUUUCUCCAUCAUGCUGAAACCAUCAAAUCAGUUUGAACCACUCCCAAAUCAGUAUUUCAAUGUGAUACACUGACUUCCCUUUAACAUACUUUCCCCAAAUUGAUUUCAAAUCGGUUAAACCGAUUUCAUGCAUUGGUAUGAGAUGAAUCGGUCUUCCUAAAAUCAAUUUCCUCUCCUGAAAUUGGUUUCUCUGAUCUCCAAACUGAUUUCCCAUACAUUUUGUGACUUCCUGCAUUUUCUCCACUUUGGCACACUGCAGCAACCACCAGGCCUCCUCACAAGCAAACUCGUACCACCAUUCCACCGCACAUGCUUAGACCUGCAUCAAAUAUCUCUUAUUUUCUCCAUUUUCUGCCCUUUUACUAAAAAAUAAUGCAUUACUCCUCGAGGUGGGCACUAGCACCAAUCUAAGCUAAAGGUAGUGGUUUGACCCGGUCCCAUGCCUAAAAGACAGUAAUAUUUUUAUAAGCAUACACAAUUAUUAAUAUCUGUAUGGUGGUGGAGUCUCCUUUUACUUUGAUCAGGUUUUGUAUUCUAUGAGAAGUAUCUCUCAUCCUUCUCUCUUUCUUUUAUCAAUAAAAUUGAUCUUUGUUUCUAAUAAAAUAUAUAUAUAUAUAUAUCUUUAUAAGCAUAGAUCUUGGCACAAAUCAACAUAUUUCACAUUAAAAGCAACAUAAAUCAACAUAUUUCACACUAAAGCAACACCCAUGACACAUUAAAGAGUGAGAACAAUAGGUACCAGAGACUAUGAGUUGCAUGCACCACAAUGAAGAAGGAUAUGAUUGGUUCAUUCCUCCUAACUCUUGCACAAGCAACACCAGUUAGCUAUAGCCCACCUCUCCUCCUUAGCUGGUCUAAUGCCAUAAUUUUUCCCCAAACCACCUCCCAAGUAAAGAAACCCACCUUAUGAGGAUCCUGAGAAACUCAAACUUCUUUGAUUAGAAAAGGAUCUUUAGUAACUAACUCCAAAGAACUGUAGCAGGGUUUUCCAAAGAACUUCCAAUCCUUAUUCAAUUUCCAAACCAACUUGUCCUGGCACUCUUUUUGAACAAACAUGUCUUAAAUUUACUUAAGGAAAGUUUCAACCAUUUCUAUCACCCAAUCUUGAACAUUUCUGAGAAAACAAGGGCUCUAAUGUCCAACACCUCCCACCUCCUCCCAAAGUCCUGUUAGCCAAGCAUCCAUAGAACUGGCAAUGAACUACAAAGCAGGAUACAAGGCUCUCAAAGAAAAAAAAGAGGGGGGGAAAAUCACCACAACACAGGUCAUGUCAAAACCUAACUCUCCAAUGGUCCUACCAUUGCAUACUUCAAAACUAUUCCUAGCCUGAAACUUUGCCUGCCUCUCCUUCCAUAGCCCCACCCCAUACCCUUUCCUCUCUUCACAAGAACACCACCCACCCAUCCUUUCAUCAAACUUAUGUGAGAUCACUCAUCUCCACAAGCUAUCCCACUCCAGAGAAAACAUCCAACAGCAUUUUCCAAGGACCUUGUCAAGUAGCGACAAAUCAGUCAACCAAUUAACUAAAUGAAGUUUUUCAUCCAAAGAGCAAACCCUCUAAAGGAAGUCCUCUGAGCCUUUUCCAAUCUUAAACUCAUCUUUGUUGGGAUAACAAAGGUAGGCAUGAAGUAGACAACCUUUAAACGGGUUAACCCUUGGAGAGAAACUGACAUUCUCAGAAAGCCAACUUCUUAGCAUAUGAAGUUGCUUCUCAGUAUGUGACAAGAUAACUUCUUGAUGAAAAGCAGUGCAUAGUUAAGUAACAAAAAUGCAAAGCAAUACAUCCUGAGAUGUAAAAGUAAAAUGGCUAAAUAAUUUCAUUUGGAAAUGAAUAGUAUCUGUAUACAUAGUGACAAACUGAACAUUAUCCAAGAGUAAAGAAUGAGAUACAAAAAACACAUACAUGAUGGAUUGUUUUGUGAAGGUUCUCCAUCAGUGUGCUGUAUGCUGUGAGAAAAAGCCAGUUUCCAAGGAGGUACAGAACAUAUAAAAUGAUGGUUUGAGAAACGUUUCCACCAGUACUCUGUGUGAUGUUCAAAACUUGGCUCCCUAACAAGAUGGAAAAAGGAGUUGCAAAGAAUGUGUAGAGAAAGUCCUGCAUCAUUGUGCUGUAAUACUGUACCAUCGUCAUUUCCCGUCAUUCAGCUUGCUUUUGAUCUCAGUUUUGACAAUACGAAUCAAGAACAAACCCGCUAGACAUAUUGCAAGGAUAAGCAUAAAAAAUACACUGUUCCAUCCUCUAGUGGAAAUAUAUCCAGCAAGAAGUGGACCAAGAGCUGCGCCAACAGAACCGGUACCAUCUAUAAUUGCAGUGACAGUAGCUAAUGCACGGGAAUUUCCCUUGAUCAAGCUCUGUGUACCAAGAUCAGCAGCGACAGCUGUUGUGAUAAGCGAGUAUGGACCAUUCACAAGCAACCCCGAAAGAAACAUCAACCCAAUGUUGGUGUACAUAGAUAUACUUCCAUAAACCCGGUAUAAAACAAGGGCUGGAAUAGAUAGUAACAAGAAUAUAAUUGAAGUAACAGCUCGAGCUUCAAUCUUAUCCGAAAUGUACCCUGCCAAAAUUCCUCCUAGAACUCCACCAACAUCAAAUAUAGUAGAAAGAAUCCCAGCAGUUUUGUGCGACAGGUGCACACCAGCAACAGCUUCAAUCCAAAACAAUUUUUAAUGGAUCUCGUUAGUUAGUGAUCAAAAGAGUCUCUUUAAGAAGUUAAACCAGGGGCGUGCUUAACACCCCAUGGAAAUUGAUGGCUCUAUUGUGUUUGUACAUAAAUUUACAGAGGGCCAUAAAAUAAGGCAAUUCAAUCUCCAUAAGACAUUCAAAAGCACUUCUAUACAUAGUUAAUAUUGAAAGAGAAAAAGAUUAAUAUACCCGUGUGCCUUAUGUAGAAGGGCAACCAGUAAAGGAAAGUGUAAGCCACAAGCUUGGAGAAGAAGAGGCAAAACGCAAAAGGCGCCACACCUGGUAACCUCCACGCCUCCAAGAACCCAAUUGCACCCGAAGAAUCUGUAACAUCGGAUGGAAGAAGCCCCGCAUCUUCCGAUUCAACUUUCUCUGAAUUUUCCAUAGAUUUAUUGGAUUCUACUUCCACAUUCAUCUCUAUCUCCUUUGCUAAAAGUUCGAAUCCAAGAUCUUCCGGAUUGACAACAAGAAACAUGAAAACAAAAAUUCCAAUGAUAAUGAUCAAAAUACCAGGCAACACAAACGACCACCCCCACCCGAAUUCCAACACCGCCGAUGACACAACUGACCCAACAAUGUUCCCAACCGAAGUAUGCGAAUUCCAUAAUCCCAUUAUCAACCCUCUCUUCUCUUUCCCAAACCAAUUACCCAGAACAGCCACAACACAAGGCCACCCAAUACUCUGAAACAAUCCACAUACAAUUUGCACCCCCACAAAAAACCCUAAUUUAUGAACAUUCAACCAAUCCCCCAACCCGAAUAUAAUUGUUAAAAUUCCACUACCUAACAUUCCAAUCACAAGGAACAGCCGGAGAUCCAACCGAUCACCGGCGUGACCAGAAAAAUACAUCCCAAUUGAAUAUGAAGAUAGGAAUGCGAGAUCGAGCUCGCCGAGACGGUGGGUGCCGUGAGGUCCAUUAAACGGAGCCCAACCGGUGUCGACUGAAGUGGAGUUGGAUUGAAUUUCGGGACUGAGGACGCUUUUGACUAUGCUGGGCGGUUUGCGGGAGGCGUGAAAGGAGGCGUACGCGACGAAGGUGAUGAGGAGAGCUGAGAUCCGAUGGAAAGUUAGGGUUUUGUGAGGGGGCUUGAGGGUUGGGAAGAGAUUAAGGCCAGGGGCUAGGGCUUGGGUGUUAGAUUGCAUUGUGUUUGGAGCCAAAAUUUGUUAAGAAAGAAAGGCAGUUUAAAACAUUUUUGUGCCCCUUUCCCUCAUUUUCCCGAGAAACAUUCAGGAAUUAUGCAGAAAUUACAGGGAAGAAGAUGAUAAUCUCGAAGCCAAGAAAACAUGCUGUGUUUGAUUUUUUGGAGGGAGAAUGCCAGGUUAGUUGGUUUCCGUUUCGUACACCCUAUGAUAUGGCUUAAAUUGAUUGGAGAACAGAUAGGGCAUGUUGUCUUUUUGAGAAACUCCAUGGAGAUUUUAGUAAUUAUGCUCUACCUAUGUGGAAAAGGUUUUCCUGUCAGCCCUUGCCACGUUGUCACGCGCUAAUGAAGGAGGAGGUCGCUCCAGCCUCCAGUAUGGGCUACAUCACACAGGCACCACUCUUUUCCCUUCGGGUUAAAGCAAACCUUUGAGUUGACUUUUGACCUAACGAAAAAUAAAAAAAUAAAAAAAUGAUAAAUGACUAAGCUAGAAGUGAAUAGGAUGUCCUCUGGCGCAUCCUAGUAUUGAAGUCCUGAACCAUAUGAUGCAUUUUCUUCUAUUAAUAACACUUGAACAGAAAAUGUUCCCUUCAAGUUUGCAAACCUACAUUCAUGUGGUUUCAUAACCUACCUAAUGGGCCUAUAACAUCUUUUACUUUGCCGAGAUAUCACAAAAUCAUUUUUAUUUUUUAACUUUUCAACAUUUACCCUAUAUAAUAUCCUAAUCCAACUUCUUACUCAAAUUAAAUUAAAUUCACUUUUAAAAUUAUAUAUUAAUUUUUUACUUAAAAAUAAAUUAAAUUAUUAAAAUUCCUUAAAUAUAUGUAAAAUCCUAAUUCUAAAAAUUUCAUCCUAAUUUUCAACCACCUAAAUCCAAAGUGAAGUGGAUACCAAUUGGAGACCUUAGAGCCUACGAGAGAAGUGUUUUCCAAACUCAGAAAAUAAUUUUAAUAAUUUUUUUACCUAAAACAAUUUUUUGAAAACCAAUUCUAAAAUAAAAUAUUUUCUUUGAAUUAUUUUCAACUAUUUUUAAAAAAUAAUUAGAUAAACAUAUAAUAUGAUUAAAAAUAAAAUAUUACUAAAAAUAAAAAUCACUUUUUAAAAUAUUGAAAAACACGUUAUGUUUAAAAGCUUUCAAACAAACUUUUAUUUCAAAAAUUAUAAUAAACUGUUUUUGAAAACUAUUUUAUAAGAGCCCGUUUGACAAUGAUUUUUAAAAGUGUUUCUACCCUUAAAAACACUUUUAAGUGUUUUUGGGAUGAAAAUAAAGCGUUUGACAAAUUUUAAAAAACACUUUUAAAAAUCUGAAAAAACACUUGAAGUGAUUUUUAGAGAAUCACUUGACAGGUGUUUUUUUUUAAAAACACUUCAAUUUUUUUGAAAUAUUCCAAAAUACCCCAGUGAUAAAUCAAUUAGAAAAAUCUUUUUUUUUUUUUAGAAAUUAAUAGGUGGUCAUAUAUUGUUUUACUUUUAAAAUUAUCUUUUAUUCAAUGUUUUUUAUUUAUUUAUUGAUUUAGAUGUUUUUUGUAAAUAUUUUUUAAAAUUUUAGUAUAGUGAUAAAAAAAUUAUUAUUUUUAAUUAGAAAAGUCUUUUUUUUUUUUUAGAAAUUAAUAGGUAAUCAUAUAUUGUUUUAAUUUUAAAAUUAUCUUUUAUUCAAUGUUAUUUUUUUAGUGAUUUAGAUGUUUUUUCAUUAAUAAAAAGUUUUUUUUGUUUAUCAUACCAUUUUUUUUAAUUAAAAUUGUAUGUCCUUUUUGGUAAUUUAUUAAUAUUAAAAGUGUUUUUAUAUUUAUACAAUAUAUUAUCAAAAACACUUUAGAAUCAUUUUUUCCGAUUAUCAUAAAAGUGUUUUUCACAGAAAUACUAUAGCAGAAAACACUUCAAAUAAAAACACUUCCACUAGAAUCACUACCAAACGGGCUCUAAAACAUUCUCCAGCAUGCCCUUUAAUACCAUCGGGAGCCAGUAAGCUUGCCCAUUCCACUAAUACAUUGGGCGGCGAACUUGAUAAUCAACACGACUGCCCCAUACUUUUAAGUACACCUCUUGACCUUUUCUAUUCAAUCUGGUUGCCAGGUCAAAAGGAGAAAGAACAGAAAAACACAAGGCCUGUGCCUUGGGAACGACUAAAAAAGCAUUAAAUUUCGUAACAAAAAUCCACCUAAGGCAAUUCCGUUGUUUUUUUAAUCCCCGAAUGGCAAUCAGAUGCACAAGUUUUUUGCAUUUGAAUUGAACUUGUACAGCUAACUAUGAUGAAAAAUGUGAGGAAGAGGACCAAAACAUCUGUAACAAAACCCUGCUUGGUGAUGCAGGAUAUCCAGCGAUCAGAAGAUGAGAUUAAACAGAGGAAUGCACUCCUGUCUCCUGACUUAAAUCAUUUGCUGAUGAAGGUCGGCUGCCUGCUGGGCUAGCUCCACCACCAUAGCCUCGUCGAAGAAUUUAUUGAUGCUUACAUCUUCACUCAUACCCUGCCAAAGAAAAUGGAAAUGCAAAAGAUUGGAUUAUAUAUCGUCUUCAGAUGGGUUCAUUAGAUCAUAUUAUUCUGUGUAACUGAAAUUGUCUGUUUGAAAUUCAUGGUUGUAGAAUGUCUUUCCUUCUGCAUGCUGAUGACUACUGAACUAACUUCAUUUGUCGUAAAACUUAUUGUUUGUGUUUCCUUCCACAAAGGAAAGACAUGAAAGGCAUGCAUUUGGCAACAUGCCAAUCAUCCUUGGCCUUUACUUGGAAAGAAAAAACAUUUGACUAGCAACAUGGUUAAAGAAACAUAUCUUAAAAACACCUUCCAAUGCAUAUUACAGCAAAAACCACACACACAUAAAAAGUGCUAUGAAGCACCUUUUCAGAUUCCAUACCUUUCUACGCCUUGUCUUAACCAUGAACUCACGAGCAAGGUGCUGAAUCGGUGCAGGUUCCAGUGGCCGCAGGACAAUACUCUUAUCAAGAGGGUCCCCUGGAACUAUAGCCCAGUGAUCAAACACAGAGGCGCAAAACGCUUGCCCUUGAGUAUGGUACCUCAAGUCUGUCUCAAACCCAAAUGAUUCUAUCACUGGCAAAAAUGCCUGAAAAUAAAUAAAUAAAGACAUUCAAAAAAUCAAGUUGCAAUUAGAUGAGUUUUCAAGCAUGUAUAUCUAGAAAAAAGACUUGGAACAUAUAAACCAAUAUGACCAACAAUAUCAUGCAUUUUACAUGAGAGAUAAAUUGGCAACACAUGUAACAAGAUGGAAGGAAUAAUCCCAACCAUAUGGGGUCAGCUCCAUUUAAUCCAAUUAAUGCUAUUCUAAUGUAUCUUCGAAAUUUAUAAUGAUAAUCUUGCAUAUUGUAUUAUCAAAUUUCUCAGUCAUAAAAAUUGGACUGGCAAGUCGGCUGGCAGUUCCAAGUGUUACUAAUUGUCCUCAAUCUCAUAGAAAACCAUUAAGAUCAAUCAUGAAAAUUUUCCAAACAUUUCCUUCAAAACUGUAACUAUAAAAGCAAAGUACAGCCAUCAAACCUUAACAAUAUAGGCUGGGGUCCCUGGUUGAGGAACAUCAGCUGUAACAUGCCCACGCCUGCGAGAUAAGACAGUGUAGAUUGCAGAGACACAGUCUAUUGGUGUUUGUAUCUGAAACAGAGAAACCAAAUUAAAUAACACAGUGAUGUCAUCAGCCUGAUAAGGGAAAAACACAUUUAAGUCUAAUAACAGAUUGAAACUAAAUAUUCUUUUUAGGGAUGAUUAAAUAUCAACUUGUUUACUGUCUGGAUCUAUGAUCCCUAUGAUUCUAUAUUCAGAUACACCUUCAAGGAAGAAAGACUUCCUUCUUAACUUUUAUGAGAAAUUUCUAUGAACUAGAAAAUUGCACGUUCUAGUUUUAGCAAUAUCCAGAAAUUUCACUUAAAAAAUGAAGCCUAAUUAACAAAUUUUCUACAUUUUUUGAGGCAACUAUGAAUGGUCUUAGGGGUUGGGUUGCUCAAAAGAUAAGUAAUAUGUUCAGUUCCCAUGCCCAGGCACAGUCCAUUUGCAGUCUUUUUUUUUUCCUUGAAUGAUGAGUGGAAAGAGGGGUCAUUAGCCUGCAUUCUUCCUUCAAUAGCUUAAUAUAGCAAAGUAUUUACCUCCACAUAGUAUACAGGUUCCAUAAGUCGUGGAGUUGCCAUAAGGAAUGCAGAGUAGGCCACCCGCCGAGCUGUAGGAAUGAUCUGACCAGUUCCUCGAUGCAAGGGCUCAGGUGCAAUCCUUGCAUCGACUAUUUUGAACUUAACAUUUCUGAUGGGCUCAUCACACAGGGGUCCUUCUCGGGCACCCCAUUGAAAUCUAUCCAGAACAACACACACCCUUAAUAAAAGGCAAAAACAAUAAUAAAUGAAAAAAGAAACUAAUGACAACAUAGUUUACCCUUGAACAAUGGAAUCUUUGACAGCAUUUAGUAAGUUCUUAUCAACUUCACUAGAGAGAGUAUCAUCUAACAAAAUGUUAGGCCCCUGCAAGCAGCUCAUUGGUCAGACAGAAACAUGGCAAUCAUACACAUAAGAGCUAGAUUGGAAAAAGAUUUGCAAGAAGUUAGGAAUAUAUCAAAGGAAGCGGAUGGAAUAACAAGCUGAAGUUAAUUUUUUUAAAAAGGGAGGUAUUGAUUAAACAACAGUAGGGUUGUAUCACUGUUAGAAGUUGAAACUUUUGCCAAGUACAUUACCUGCUUAUCUGGCCCAAAUGCCCAUAUGGACCUUGCAGCCAGCAAAUCCCAGUCAUAUUUUGUUUGAAAAAAGUCACCAAGUUUCUUUCGAUGCCAAUCAAUGCUUACAACACCAUUCUCAAUAUCCUCCGCGAGUCCUUUCUCCAAUGGCUCUGCAAUCUAGCAAAGAAAAAAACACAAAAAAAAAGGUUGUUUAAAUAAUUAAUAUACUGCAUAAAAUUGAAUCAUAUAUGAUUCUUGAUAGCCCCAGGAUCAAGGGAAGGGAAAAAAAAGGCAAUAGAUGACUUCCCUACCAUGGUUAUUUUAUUCUUCUUGUUGGGUGUUUCAGCAAAACAUUUCAUUGAUGAAGACUCCACCACAGUUUCACAAAAUGAUACAACAGGAUCUGCCACCUAUAUUUUAAGUAAAGCACAAGAAGCAAAAGCAUGCUCAUCAACAAAAGGCACAUCCCUCCAUCGAAAAGGCAAAAAGGGUACUCACAUGAAAGUUAAGAUCAACCAUAAAUCAAAUAAGAGAUCGAUGUGAAAUAGAUACCUUGACUUCAACUUCAGAAUACAGCUCUCUAAGGUCCUUCAUGAUAGAAUCCAAAUACAACUCCCCAGUACCUAAAAUAGUGUGUUCUCCAGACUCCUCAACUUUAGUAAUUGCUAAAGGAUAGCUCUUACUGAUCUUCCUAAGACCCUCCACCAUUUUGGGCAACUCACUUGGAUUUAAAGGCUCAGUAGCUGUUUUAACUACUGGAAGAGUAUUAAACAGAAGAGGCCGAAAUAUGUAUACAUCCUCAUCAUAAUCCAAAUUACAAAGUGUGGCAGUCUUCAUAAUUGAAGCAUCCACACCUUCAAUGAGAACCCAAGAACCAGGAGGAGCCUUGCUUAUGGGUAUUCUGUAACGAGCUUGAUAAACCCAUAAUUUUGUAACUUCCUUUACUGUCAUAUCCUCUUCGUCUUCUGGUGAAUAGCCUUCUCCCAGCACACGUAAAGUCUGCCCUGUUUGGAUUUCACCACUAUAAACCCUACCAAAAGCAUCAAAAACACUGCAAUCAGACUUUGGAUACAGUUUAGUCACAUUAACCAUUAGAGGACCAGAAGAAUCACAAUCUUCCAUGGCCUGGUAUAUUGCAGAAUCUUUGGGUCCAGUAUAAAUAUGAUCAACCUUCUUAGCUGCAGCAUCUUUGGCAGAAGGAAUAUGCUGAACCAGCAUAUCAGUGAAACCUGUCGCUGAACCAAAGACUGAGCUACAGGCCAACCUCAGCAAAGGCCUAACAUUUAGUUUGUAGGCUGCAUUACUGAGAGUGACACCCAGUUCUGCAAGGGUACUCUCCACACUCUUCUUAUGUUCUCCAAUUACUUGGCUAUAUAUCUUGUAGAGGGGCUCAAGCACAAACUGGACAAAUGAUCUUUCCCCUCCACUUGCAGGCGGUUUCUUCCUGAAAACCCUAGCAUCAGGAUGAUAAUACAUAUCUCCCCAAAGCCGAGAUGCAAACUUAUUGGCAUCAAAUGGGACGCCAUGGAGUUUGACAUAUAGUUUAGCAAAUGAUUGCAAAGUAAAAGACCAUCCUGCACUAGCACUAGCAAAACAGACAUUUCCAGCAGCCGGGUCUAUGAUUUGGACAUUUCCUGCAGUUGAUGAGGCAGCAGAUAUGUGAUUAUUGAUGAGUUCCAGAGUAUGCCUUAGCUUAUGAUAAGCAUCCUUUGGGGGCAAUUUGAGUUCAGUGAUCAGCCUGUCAACCUUGAAAAAAUAAGAGAUUAAAAUAAAUUAAUAAAAGAGAAUACAAGGAAGUCUAUGAAGUGCUCUGCUUCGUAGAGUUGAUUAAAAUGGUACAAAGAAGUUUUGACCACCAAAACAAAGGGUUAAAAGGUACCUUAUUGAUUACAACUACAAUAGGAAGGCGCUCUUGGAUUGCAUGGCGUAUAGCCCUUUCUGUAUUUACCUGUGCACAAAAGAAUUAUCGAACAUUUCAUGUCAUUACAAUCUCUCUCAAAGCAACUGCCAAAGCCAUUAAUUCAGGAAAAGGACAGAAAUGAGCAUAUUGGAUAAUCAAUAUGAACGGGUUGAACAUAAUUCUUCUUUAAUGAGAAAGUUUACCUGCUUCCUAUUAGUAAUUUGGUUCUAACUAUUCUCUCACUAAGGUAAUCUAAGCCAGGCCCUUUUAAUAUUAACUAGGUCGAUUAAACCUUGAUUUCCACAACUGGAUACAUUCAUCACUUGGGUACAGACAUCUAUACUUAUUCAACAUGGUAUUAAUCAUAUAUCUCUAUUUUGACUUAGUUAUGGAGUUUGCAUCUCUCUCUAUCUUUAACUUCAAAUUGUCUUUCUUCAACAUUCCUUUAUUUUCAGAACUUACUUUUUUUCUUUUUUUUCUUUUUUUUUCCAGGUGAUAGGCCAUAGCUUACUUUCAGUUAUCACCCUCAUUAAUAUUAAGCUUGUUCCACUAAGUCUGAUAAAAACAGGGAGAAGCAAAAACAACUAUCUUAAUUACAUGCAUCCUCCAACAGCAGGCAGAAACACUCAAAGUUGGGGUCAAAUAAUUAAACCUGCAUAUAUCUCUUAACUUUUAUUCCACUACUCGACCUAUAAAUUAUCAAAGCUAAAGUUCUAAUAGACUUGACACUUUUGGAAUUCCCCAAUCAAAAAAACAAAACAAUAAUUUCUUAGUUCUGAUGGGGAAUAAUUAAUAUGGAAGGGCUUUAAAGAAGAAGAGGUAUUUGGGUAAUACAUGAGUAAAGAUAGGCAGUAUGAACCUAAAACUAGGUUGAAAAGCUUUGUAGGUAAGAAACCAAUCAUAGAAGCUUACAGCAGAAGUUCAGAUUGAGUCAUAUCUAUUUUGCACUGAUUAUAGAUAAGUUAGUUGAGCAUUUAUGUGUUGGUGACAUCUACAAUACUAUGUUAAAGGAAGAGGUGUCCAAUCUACACAUCCACAAUUAGUGACCUGGCAUAAAUUCCACCUCCAAUUAAAAGAUAUGGAUAUAAUGAUUUUAUAGGAAGUACAGGUGAAACACUGGAAUCCAUUAUUACUAGGGUAGAGUGGAAGGAGGGAUGAACUCACAAGACCGCCACUCAUAAAAUUUUCACAAGAGCACAACGUAAGGAAUGUGCUCAGUUGUACAUUCCAAUUGACAAGACUAGGAAAAAUACUAAUGAAAAGUUAUAACCAUGUAAGGAAGCUUUAAAAUAAAAUAAAAAAAGCUGUGAGAAAAUAACUAAUGUGGAAAAUGUAAUAAAAUUACAAAAAUAAGUGCUUUUUUGGAUACACUUCAUGUUUUAUUGUUUUUAAACAAAGAAAAUAGUAGUUUCUAUCCCUUUUACGCAUCCCUAAAUCUGUUACAAAAAGGAUUGAGAAAAUCCAAAGAGAUUUCCUUUGGGGGGGAGGAAGUUUGGAGAGGAAAGCUCACUUAAUUAAGUGGAAGGUGGUUUGUAGCCCUAAGGAGGAGGGAGGAUUAGGCAUCCGAAAAAUAGAUGUAUUGAACAAAGCCUUGCUGGGCAAAUGGGUGUGGAGAUACGCCUAUGAGAAGGAGAAUCUAUGGAAAAGGGUGAUAGGGGUGAAAUAUGGUCAAGAGGGGUGUGGGUGGAGGACUAAGGACGUUUGUGGGCCUUAUGGAGUGGGACUGUGGAAGGAGAUCAUGAAGGAAGCUGAUUGGUGCUGGGAGAGUAUUGUGUUUAAGGUAGGCAAGGGGACCAGAAUUUUGUUUUGGAUGGAUAAGUGGUGCGGUAAUGAGGCCCUUUCUCAAAUUUUCCCUCAGCUGUUUACUUUGGCGGGUCAUAGGAAUGCCAAAGUAAGUGAAGUGUGGGACUCUAGCCUGGGUCAAGGAGGUUGGAAUCUCAGAUUGGCUAGAGAUUUCAAUGAUUGGGAGCUGGAACAGAUAGGAAAUAUGCUGAAUCUGCUGAAGGAUUUCAGGACUUCGACUGAGGAGGAUGCUGUAAGAUGGAAAAGGGAAAGCAAUGGUGUUUUCGGGGCUAAGGGUGCUUACAAAAUGUUGGUUGGGUCCUCAGCCUGUGUCUUCCCGAACAGACGCAUUUGGAUGAAUAAGGUGCCAACAAAAGUAUCUUUUCUUGCUUAGGAAGCUUCGUGGGGGAAGAUCCUCACCUUGGAUAAGCUUCAAAGAAGGGGGCGGCAGCUCCCUAACCGGUGUUUUCUGUGUGGAUGUGAAGAGGAAAAUGCGAAUCAUAUUAUGUUACAUUGUACAGUGGUUAAGACUCUUUGGGAGAUCGCUCUCGCCAUUUUUGGAGUCCAAUGGGUGUUCCCAGAAUCAGUUAUAGAAGUGUUACUUAGUUAGAGGGGUUCUUUUGUGGGGAAAAAAAGAAAAGACACCUGGAAUUCCAUUUCGUUGUGCAUUUUUUGGACGGUUUGGAAGGAAAGGAAUAGGUUAGCUUUUAGGGGGGGGUCUUUAGAUAUACAAAAAUUCAAGAAUUUUUUUGUAUGUAAUUUGUGGAGUUGGGCUAGGGUGUAUAUUGGUGAGGAUACCUAUUCUCUUUUAGGCUUUUUGGAGUGGCUUGCGGUCACUUGAGGGUGGGUGAGGUUUUCCCUCUUUUUUGUUCAGUUCGUCUUUUUGGGCAUUUGUGUAUACCCCCUGUAUACAUGCGGCUUUUUAGCCUUUUCUAAUAUAUUCUGACUGUUUAUCUAUAAAAAAAAAAAACAAAGAAAAUAGUAGUAAUUUUCAUGUAAAAUAUAACAACUCUUAUAUGAAAAGUAUAAACCUACCUCAUGUCUUUAAAAAUUACUUUGUAAAUUAGAGGUAGGUUUAUACCUCAAAGCGUAAAAUCCAAAAUCUUUUUAAGGCAAGUCUCAAAGAGUUCUUGCAUUUUAGACAGAAGUUACCAUUGUUUUCCUUUUGAAAAAAUAAAAAACAAGAAGUGCAUCCAAAAGACACCUAAAUAAUCUGAUGUUAGAUUGACGUCUACAAGAAAUCCAGGAGCAACUAUUUGCAUUAUUUUCUUUUCAUACAUGCACAGUGAUUGAUGAAUCAAAGAGAACAUUCCUUGAAGAACUAAUGCUAUAUGAAUGAACAAGAGAGUUAUGACACAACUAUGAAUACAUCCUGUGUACUUGGAUUGCACCUUUUUUUUGCUAGGCCCCUUCUAAUAAAUCAUUUUUCUAUCAAAAAGAACUACAAUCAUAAAAUCCUCAAAUUUCAAAUUUCUAAAUGUUGCAGCAUGUCAGCCUAAAAAGCACGAGAAUAAGAUGAAUUGAGUACAAAAACUAGAAGGAAUAGAUAUUAAGUCAUUUCCAGCAGAAAUGGGGGCAAAAUAAAGGCCAAUGAUUAAACUAAUUAUGAUUGAAAUGGUUAAAGUAGCAAGUACUAUGAACAGAGGGAAGGUCCAAGGAACGUAAAUCUUAAGAUAGUGCAAAAGAACCUAGUGGCCUACCAUUCUUCAAGAAAAAAUGCACACAAGUCACAACGUAUAAAGAUUAAGAUUCUGAUGGUUGAUGACGUAUGGUUGAGAUUUGAUACCAGAAUAAGAUGCAUACAUAACAUGCCUCAAGCUCAAAACUUUUCAGUGGGUAUGAGGGGUUGCUCAGUGUUUCAUGCGGCACUUUGUUAUUGGGCAAUUUUCUGUGUGUUUGCACGAGUGCCAUCAUGUGUUUGGCUUCCUCAGAAUUUAAAAAAAAAAAAUAGCAUACCUGAAAAGAAACAACAGAAGCAGCCAAAGAAAAGGGUCACUUACCAUUACUCCUUCAGCAGCAUCCACAAUCAAGACAGCACCAUCGGCAAGUCUGAGAGCAGCAGUCAUCUCAUCAGAGAAAUUUACAUGACCUGGAGUGUCCAUGAUGUUACAAAGAUAAGAUUUUGAAUUGCUAUCCUCAAGAACAAGUGACAUGGGAACAGCCUUAAUUGAUAUCCUUCUCUCUUGCUCAUCAAUCCUCGUAUCUGUGUAUCUCAUGUGCUUCUCACUAUUUGAAUCAAAUGUUGAAAUAUGGUGUGUUUGCUCAACCAGCAUGUCCAUGAAUAGUGUCUUUCCAUGCUGUAAAUGUCCGACCAGAGCAACAUUCCGAACCAAAGCUGGGUUUGACAUAAGACCCAAAAGAAACUGGGUUGACACAUAUGUCGACGAAUCCUUCACUCCCAACUCAAACUUAAUAUUCCUAACAGGUUUGAUUAUUGGUUGUUCAAGUGGUUGCUCAUCUUCAUCCAUUACCAAGGUUUCAACAUCUUCACCAUAGACUUCUUCAGCAGUAGGAUAGUACUUUUUGUCUUCAGCAAGGACAAUCUGGUUGUCCAUGUCAACAUCAUUAGAUGCAGUUAUCCACCCAUUAGAGGCUGCAACUGCAUCCUCAACAUCAGAUACCAUUUCCUCUUCAUCAGGCUUGUCAGGGAUGUCCUCAUCUUGAUCAUCUCCAUCACUUUCUCUGUCAGACUCAAUUUCUGGUCCAAUGUAGUUUCCAAAUUCAUCAUAUAAACUGUCAUCCAUGGUUCUUUCAAAUCUGCCACAUUGUAUAACCAAUUAUUAGUAUGGAACAGCAACCACCCAAUCAAGAAAGAGUUGUUUAGGGCAAUGUUCGGUUCACAAUCAUCAAUGGUCUUUGCCCACUUAAGACCAAAUGUUCUCUUAGAGCCUAGGCACGACAGGGAAGCCCAUGGCAUGGGCUCGAGUGAAAUGAUGCAACAUUAAUUAAUGUAAUUUUAUAAAAUUUAAUACGCUAAUACUUGUUGCAUACCAUAAAAAAAUAAGAAAAAAAUAUUCUCAAGAAAUUCAGGGAAAAGAACAUUUCAGUAAUUUCAUGAAGAGUUUCAUUGAAUAGUCUCAGUAAUUUCAGUUUUUAAAAAAUGUAUAAGAAAAAAGGCCAAAGUUUCCAAAGAGUGCACAUGUGAGCUAAAAACAGCCAAGUGUCCAGAAAAUGCAAAAUCAUCUAAGAAAACUUAAGUGAGAAAAAUUAUAAAUAUGUCAUAAUGCAAAUUGUACCAAAAUUUUAAAAGAAAAAUUUUCCAAAAUAUCAGGAAAAAAAAUCUCAAAAAGACAUUUCAGGAAAAAUUAAAAGAGAAAACGAAGAAGUAGAGCGACAAGUGUGUGCAGUGUGACGAAGUAAGAAACAAUGAAACAGAGAGCGUGUCGGAGCGAGUGGUGCAGUUGGGACUUGAAAGUUGUUGGUAUCUUCUCCUCCCCCAAGGAGGAGCAGAAGAGACUUGCAGGAAGAUUAGGAUUAGGGUUACUUUUUACAGAGAAGAGAGAAGAAAUUAAAGAAAUGUCGGGGUUUGGAUCUUUCACCUUUUCUCAAUUUGACCCAAAAACGAAAAAUGAAAUGGGUUUUUGAUUUGGUGAAUCCUGCAUCUGGGUUUCUUUUCUGAUCAAUUUUCCAGUCAUAUUCAAGAUGGCAAACAAUUCAAGGGUUUUAACCUAAAUACUACAAACCAUCAAACAGCUGAUACUAGAAUCAAAAGAAUAACCCGUUUUUGGAUUUUUUUUGCGCAGAAAUUGAAUUAAAAUUACCUAAUCCUUACAGACACGUAUACAUCCAGAGAAAGAGAUAUAGAGAGUACCUGAAGAGGGAGUUACAGGAAGUGAAUCCAACUGAGUGUUCAAGAGUAUUGAAACGAGAGGGUUUAUAGAGGGGUUGGCCACGGCGCGGCUGUCAAGAGGAAUUGGGCCUACACCUGGCUAGAUAAAGCUCGAGCCAUGUAGGUUGGACUGAGUUUGAGCCCAAUGGGCUCGAGUAUGUUGGCCUCCGGUGGCUUACUCUCUGUUUGGAAACUAUUUGGCACUGUACCUUGAAAACAAUGUUCUGUCGAACUUAUGACAAAAAAAUUAAAAAAUAAUAUUUAUUUAUUGAAUACAAAUGUUUAUAAAAUUGAUGGUAUUAAAAUGCUGUAGCAAAAAUAUAAUUGUUGGAAAAAAAACCACAUAUGAAGCAAUUGUCAAAGAAUCAUUUAAGUAAUUACUCAAAUCUACUUCAAAUGAUUAUUUAUAUUUUUAAAAUCAAAUUUAAAAACAUUGUUAUAAAAAACAACUUUUAAACAUUAGGAAAUGUAUAUAGUAUUUACGAAACCAUUCUCAAAUAAACUUCAAUUACCUAUUAAUAUUAACUAUUAUAAUUUUAGAUUAUUUAUUUGAUUUCAUCGAUACCACAAAAUCAUAUUUGAAAAGUCGCAGUAUGUUUCUCAAUUGCCAUUUAAUGGAAAAAGGUUUUGAAUUAUCUUAUAAAAUGCCUAAAAUCUACAUUGGUUGUUCACGGAUGAAUUCUUUUUUCAAGUAGCGAAUGAAAUUACAAAAAAUUGAGAACCAUUAUAUUUUUAUGAUACAAAUGUCUUAACCUUAAGAAAAACAGAGAAAAAAUAAAUAGAUAUAAUUCAAGAGAAAAAACUUUUUUUAAAGAACUCUAUUCAUUUGACUUUUGUCAUAUAAAGAGUGUGUGAGAAAGAUUUUUUUUUUAUUUUAUUUUUUUGUAAUUGUAUAAUAGCAUUUUUGUGUAAUUUUAAUUUCCAUAAAUUGUUUCAUGUUUCUUAUUUUGUUGGAUCGAGUCGAAUCAGUCCACAUGAGCACCCAAACCCAACUCCAACACCAUUAAACCCAUUUUUACAAUCAAUGAAGAUAAAAAAUUAAAUUAAAAAUAAUGAUUGGUAAAAUUAAAAAUUUUGAUAAUGAAAAUGUAUAAUAUAUAAAAUUUAAAAAAUGUUAACUUAUAGAAAAAUUAAACUCAUAGUAAGCUAAUAAAAUAAGAGUAUAUUCAUGUUCUUAAAUCACCUAUAAGAAGUGUAUUUAAUCUUCAACCACAAGUCAGCAAGACUUUAAUAUUACUUCUUUUUUUUUAUCACGUUUUGAAAAAAUAGAAAUAUAGUAAUGAUUACUCCAUGCUAUCAAUUACUAUACAUACAUAUAAUUAUUUACUUAAUUUGGAUUGGAGUUGCUUUAUUUUCCCCCAUACCUAACAUAGAUCACAAAAAGGCCUGCCUUAACCCUUCCAAGAUUGGAUUAAAUUCAGUUAAACCUGUUCAAAUUACAUCCUUAAUUGAUUUAGAGUAUUAUUGACAACGAUUUUAAGAAAUGUUUAUGGUAUUUAUAAUUUUUAAAAGAUAAAAUUUUUUAAGUAUUAAAAAUAUAAAAAUACUUUUUAAAAUUAAUGUUAAAUGCAUUCUUAAAAUUUGUUUAAAAAUGUUAGACAAUUUGUCUAAAAAGUAUUUAAGAAAAAUGCUUUUUAUUAAAAACAUUUUGAGUAGAAAUGAAAAUUUUUGUUAUGGAGUACAUUUACCCGAUCAUCAUCAAUUGUUGAGCAAAAAAUUUAAUGACUUGCUCAUGUCAUAAAAUACGGUAGUCAUGAAAAUAUUAAUAAAUUAUUUAGUUGAAAACAUUAAUUUAAUGAUUUGAAAUGUUACAUGAAUUAUUUAACAGGGACAUACCACCUACAAUCAUAUUAAAAAUCAUGAGAAAUAUUUGAUAAGUAAUUUGUCUAAAAACACUUUAAGAAAAACACUUUUUAUUAAAAACAUUUUGAGUAGACAUAAGGUGAAAAUUCCUUUUAUGGAUUACAUUUACCCAAUCAUCAUCAAUUGUUGAGCAAAAAAUUUAAUGAUUUGCUCAUGUCAUAAAAUACGAUGGUCAUGAAAAUAUUAAUAAAUUAUUUAGUUGAAAACAUUAAUUUAAUGAUUUGAAAUGUUACAUGAAUUAUUUAACAGGGACAUACCACCUACAACCAUAUUAAAAAUCACGAGAAAUAUUUGAUAAGUAAUUUGUAUAAAAACACUUUAAGAAAAACACUUUUUAUUAAAAACAUUUUAAGUAGAAAUAAGGUGAAAAUUCCUUUUAUGGAUUACAUUUACCCAAUCAUCAUCAAUUGUUGAGCAAAUAAUUUAAUGAUUUGAAAUGUUACAUGAAUUAUUUAAAAAGGACAUACCACCUACAACCACAUUAUAAAGUUUGGAAAAGAAUGUCCAUCCAUUGAACAAUGGAAGAAAGUGUGCCACCAUAGAAAACAUUAAUAAGCUCAGUCAUGAAAAUAUUAAUAAAUUAUUUAGUUGAAAAGUCCAUUCUUCCUUGUGUACGCUCAAAGGUCUUAGGUUUGAUGAGUUAAAUUUUAUUUUAUAUCUUAGAAUAAGAAGUUAAAUUGAAAAACCGAGAAUGAGAGAGAAGAGGAAGCCACAAACAUGGCGGUCGCUUCUCACAUUUAUUGUAACACACUUCACACACAUACACACGGAUGAAAGUCCUAGGCCACCACGUGUCACAAAUCACAGAGUCUGAGGGCAUUAUUUAGUAUUUAGUAUUUACUACAACACAACCCAGAAAGCAAAAAAGAGAAUUACAAACACAACCCUCUCAUUCAGCUGCUGGCCGUCACGUCCCUCCAUUCACAUUAUGACUUGUAGGCACGAGUCUCAAGGGUGGGUGGUUAGCGACUUACCAGGGGCGUUGGGGAGGGCCAGGAGGACCGGGAGGACCAUAAGGCCCCGGAGGCGGAGGGCCAAAGGUACCUGGCGGACCCGGGGGUGGCGGACCAGGGGGUGGCGGACCAGGGGGUGGCGGACCCGGGGGUGGAGGUCCCGGGGGCGGCGGCCCGUGGUGGUGUGGGUCGUGUGGUGGAUGAUGCAUCUUCUCUUCUUCUUCAAGGAAGCUGUGGUGUGGCGAAGGGGUUGGAGGGGGCUUCUCAAUUUAUAAUGUAGGGGAUGUGUGAGAAGUGGGAAAUGAGAUGAAAGGCAGCUUAAUUCAUCCUAUGUUUAUCUUUUUUAUCUACAAGUCAAACUUUGAUUUCUUUGAUUUUUUAUUAUUUUUUAGACGGUGUCACCUACUAUUCUAGAAGGCAAAGGGAAAUUGACAUCCAAAUUUUAUUUUCAUUUUAUUUUUUUGCCUCACGGCUCGGGCAUCUAUAAUUAUUUAUUUAUCAAUGUAGAAAAUCCUUGUGGGGAUAAAAGACACGUGAGUUCUGAUGGGGCGGGCCUCCAUCCCCGCAAUUCAAUCUCGCAUUCGCAUUCAUGUAUUAGGGUUUUGGACCACAAUAAUUAAUUAAAAAAAAUCAUAUUUAUAAUGACCUGUAAAAUAAUUCUCAAUUUAAUCCUUUUUUUUACAUGAAUUGUCACGUUCAUAAUUUUUAUUUUUAUUUUUGAGGUGCUUUCCAAUUUUUUAAUUUAAAAAUGACCUCGUUGAACACGUGGUCAGUAUGAAUUAAAUUAUAUAUUUUUAAAAUUCAAAUUAUAUUUAUAAUUAUUCCAAUCUUAUUAUGUAGAUAUUAUCCCAUUUGAAUCAAAAGUGGACAAUAUUUACACAAUUGUAUAUUGAGGAUUUGAUUGAUUCAUGAAGAGUAUUUGUUUACUUGACUUUAUAAUUUUUAAGAAAUGACAAAAACAUUAUGUUUGCAUGUGAUGUUCGUAAUAUUUCACAUAGGAUUGAGAAGGAAGUUAUUAAUUCUAUAUAAAUAUGAAAUUUUCUUAAUCAUGUAAAUGUGUUAUAAAGUUACAAGAAUCCUGUCAUCCUUAAAGAGGAUAAUGCUUACAAAUGUUUCAAAAUUAAUUUUGACUUUGUAGGGAGUGUUUAUCUUUUUGUGAAAAAGGAAAAUUAAAACUCUUUUUUAAAAUAAUUUUAUGAUAUUAAAAAUUAGAAAUUUGAAAAAUAAAAAAUAAUGUUUUGAGAACUUUUGAUGAAAUUAGGAUAUUUGAAUUAUUUUUCUUGUUUUAAUGAGAUUAUUUUUAAAAAUAAUUAUAUAAAUAUAAAGAAUAAUUUAAAAUAAAUUAUUGUAAAUAAAAACUAUUUUUAAAAAUAUAAAAAGAAUAUUUUAAGUGUUCAAACAAAAAUUUGUUUGGUAAACAUCAAAAUUUUGUUUGAAAAGUGUUUUUGAGUUCUAUUCUGAAAAUAGUCUUUAAAAACUAUUUUAUAAUCUUUCUAAAACAAAAGUUUCUGUUUUGACAGCUUGAAAGUUUGAAACACGGAAUUGCAGGCUUAUGCCCUACACGAGCAGGGGAACCUUCUGGAACUCGUGGACCCAAUUCUCGGUUCUAACUACUCUGAAUUUGGAUUUCUUAUGCACCAGCCCAUCUCCCACUCUCAGGCCAAAUUCCGCGUCUUCUGUAGUGAGCACGCUCCAAGGCAAAAUCGCUGUCCAAGCACCAAUAGCCAAGAGGAGCUCAAUGAACCAGGACAUGAGGUUCAAAGCCUUUGAGAGGCUGUCACAGGACAUAUCAUAUUAUGCUUUAUUUUCUUCUUUCAAUUUUUCCUCUGCUUUCUCUGCUACCAAACAAUGGCUUAUAUCAUUCUGCUGGAAAUUCUUUGUCCCUCUAUGCCAUAGCGAACUUGAUCUGAACCCAUAAUGUUUAUGGCCGAGUUGGAAUUCUGGGUAUUUAUUUUUUUCCUUUCUUUAAUUGGUUUGAAACCGGCACUGAAGCCGUAUUUUCAAAUUUUGACUGUUACAUAGGUUUUAAAGCCGCAUUUCCAAGAUGAGUUUUCUCAAUUAUGUAAGGGUUUGUUUGGAAAGUAUUUUUUAGAAUAGUUUCCUGUUUUUCAGAACGAAAAAACAAAGAAAAUGUGUUUGACAACCAUAAACUAUGUUAUGUUUUUUAUUUUUAAGAAUUAAAAAUAUAGUGUUUUAAAAAAACAUUUUUAAUUAUUUUAUAUUAUUUUCAUUUAAUUUUUUAGGGUUAUUUUAAAAAAUAAUCAUACAAAUAUGUCAAAUAUAUAGAAUAAUUAAAAAUAAAACAUUAGAUAUAAAAACAUAUUUAAAAAUAUUAAAAAUAGGUUAAAAUCAUUUUAAGUUUCACAUAGACUUAUGUUCUAUAAGAAUCAUAGAACAAUUUUUUAAAAAUAUUCAUAAAAACUAUUCUUCAAAAUUAUUUUGAAAAAUAGUUACCAAAUAGACUUUUGUCCUAGAUAUGAAAAAUCAUAUAGUUUUUUAUAAAUUGUUUUUAAUUUUUUAUUAUAUUUAUUAUUGUUAUUUUUAAAAAUAAAUUAGUUUAAAAAAUUAAGUUUCCUUAAAUACAAUAUUUACAUUUAUGAUGUAAAUUGAAAUCGAUAUUCAAAAUUUCAUAUAUUAAUUUUCCUUUUGCAAUGAUGUAAUUUCUUCUUAUUUAUUGAAUUUAUAAUUUUAUCAUCUAAUUAUAUAAAUAUAUAAAUUGAGAUCUCAUAUUACUAUGAUUCUAAGUCAUGUGAUGAAAAUAUUUUAUUUAGUUGCUUUAAUUUUAGAAAACUAUCCAUUCUUUCUAUUAAUUAUUAAAUAUUAAUUUCAAAAUUUUAUUUUUAGUAUUUAGUAAAAAACAAAAUAUUUUGACUUUUUCUAUUCAUUCAGAUAAAAAGUUAUAAAAAUAAGUAAUAAAUAAUAAGUUAAAAACAAACAAUUUAAUGUUUGAAAGCAAAUUACAUUCCAAUUAAGUUAAAAAACAAAUACCACUUCGAUAUUUGGUAAAAUUUAAUCCUUAUUAUUUAAUGACUUAAGUCAAAUUAUUCUUAAUAUGUUAACUUAAAAUUUGUUACUUACUUUUUUUUUUAAUCAUUAAAAUUGUUCGAUGAAAUUAACUUCAAAUUUAUUUUUAUUCCUCAAAUUAAUAUAAUUACUUUUGUUAAUUAUAAUUAAUAUUAAUCUUCAUUCAAUUAACUAAUUUAUUUUCAUUAAUUUUAAGCAAGACAUUUCUUUAUAAAACAUUUAUAUUUAAAGUAUUGAUAAAUAAGAUAACCAUAAAAGAUUUAUUAUAAAAAAUGAAUCAUAAAUUUGGAAUUAUAAUUUUAAAAUAUAUUCUCAUUAACAUAUGCAAAUGAAAAAAAAAAAGAUUUUGAGAUUAAGAAUAAGUUAAAUAUUUUGACUUAGUACUUAAAAGUUAUAAUAUUAAAUUAUUUUACCAAAUAUGAUUAAUCUACUUAAUGACUUAAAUUAAGUUGUCAAGUCAUUAAGUAAUUUAUCAAACACCUUGUUGACUUUAAACUUAUUGUUUAUUUUUUAUUUUAAAGUAUUAAGGUUGGUUGGUGAAAUUAACUUAAAAUUUAUCCUAUAUCGUCAAACAUAUUUACCCUUAUUAAUUUUAACUAAUAUUUAUAUUUUCAUUCAUAUUAAGAUAUAAACUUAUUCAUUAAAAAAAUCAUAUUUGAAGUAUUUUACAUAUAUAAAAUAACUACAAAAUAUUUACAUUCAAAAGAUGAGUUUCAAAUAUAGAGUUAUACUUGUAAAAUAUGGAAAAAUGAGAUAAAAAAGAUUUAAGAUUAAGAAUAAAUUACUUAUUUUAACUUACACUUUCUUCUUCUUCUUCUUUUUUUUUUUUUUGAAAUUUAAGUAGUAAUAUUAAGUUAUUUUCCAAAAUAUAUUUAAUUUACUUAAUGACUUAAAUUAAUUUAUUAAGUCAUAUUAAGUCAUUAAGUUCAUUUAUUAAACACCCUCUUAAAAUAUAUUUAUUUAUUUAUACUUAAAUCUAAAUAGAACUUAAUUUUAAAUACAACUUAAUAAUAUCAAAUAUUAAAUUAUUUAUUUUUUAUUAAUUUAUUUUUAUUAAGUAAUAAGUAUUAAUAAGGUGAGGGUCAUGCUAAAAUUGUGUUUUAAUUGUUUUGAAAAGUUAUUUUUAACGUUCAACAAAAAGUCAAAAUAUUUUGAUUUUUUCUAUUCGAUCAUUUUUAAAAAAAUAAGUAAUAAGUUAAAAAAAAAAUCUAAAGUCUAAAUGCAAAUUGCAUUAGACAUUAAGUUAAAAAAGCAAAUACCACCUUGAGCUUGGAACUUAUUAUCAAACUCAAAUAGUUAAUUUCUAAUGCUUUUUGGUUUGCAUGCCCAAUUUUAAGUUAGGCAUUUUAUAUUUUUCUUAACAAAAAAAAUUAUUUUCUAAAUUAAAUUGAAUGACAUUGGCCUUAAACAAUUUAGUUAGUUAUUGUCUAUGAAUCUAAUUGGACUGAACAACAUGAUUUUCAUUUGAGAUUUGGUCAGUAUGAUUCUCAGUGCAUAUAAACCAAUUACAUUAAUUUGAUUAGAUUUUAGUUUUCAAUGUGAAAUAGUUAUCAUUUGUAGUGAAUUUGAGGAAAUAGUAAUUAUUUGUAGUCAGGGAUAUUAGUUAAUGUUCAAAAUGAGAGACUAAUUUGUGGUCUUAGAAAAUGAGAAUAAUUUUUGUCAAGUUUUUAUUUAUUUAUUUAUUUGGAUAACCCAAAUGCCAAAAAUAUAUGUUCAUUUCAAUAUUUAAUAACAAUAAAAAUAAAAUUAGAAAAUAAACGCAUUUUUAUUAUGGUUACAUUUUACAUUUUACUAAACUUUUGCCCAUUUUAUUACUAGCCAAAAUAAAAUAAAAUGUAUUGAAAAUUAUUAUUAUUAUUAUUUGUGGUUUUCUCAAUAAUAAAAUAGAACCUAAUAACUUUGUUAUUAAUAGAAUUAAAAUUUAAAAUACUAAAAAAUUAAAGAGGGAAUGAAGAAUGCGAGAAAUGAUAUGAACAAUGUAAGGAUUAUCAUAUUUUUCAUACAAUUUCUCACAUUCUUUGUAAUUUUAUAAUUUUUUUUUCAGUUAAAAAUAUAAUAAUAUUGUUUAUCCAUAUUAAUUAAGCUUGGAAAUGAUGAAAAUUAUCAUUAAUAAAACAUUAAAUAAUUGUAACUAAAUAAUUGUAGAUGGUAGAAUAAGAAGAAUGUGAGGAAUGAUACAUGAGGAAUCCUUACAUUUUAAUUGGAGAGGGUACGAUCACAUACGAAGAAUGUUAUAAAAAAGUAUGAACAAUAUGAAAAUUCUUCACAUUUUUUUUGUCAUUCCCACAUUCUUGGUACCGUCCAAAAUUUUCUAUUUUUUUAUUUUAAGAAUUUUUUUUCCACUUCCCAAAAAUACUUUCUAUAUUUAAUCCAGUCUUCUCCAUAAAAAAAAUUACAAUUAAUAAUACAAUUUUUAAUUAAUAAUUGAUUGAUCAUAAUUCUAAUUUAAUAAUAAAUACUCAUUUUAAGUUAAUUAUAAAUGAUUUUUUCACGAGGUCUUAGUGUUUAAAAUUUAUAUCAUAAAAGGAUACAAUACUUCUUUGAAGACAUGGAUGCAAAACAAGAAGAGGAUAAGAAGGUAAGCAAUCGGAUUGCGGAAACAAGAGAAGUCGCCUACAAUGCUGAGGAUGCUAUUGAAAAUUAUAAUCUCCGUGAUUUUGCUAGUAAAUGGACCCUGAAAAGAAAAUUGACUUGGUUCUGAUUCCUCUAUUUUUUUAAGAAUACCGAGUCGGGUUCUUCUCCUACCCGUAUUGAAUAGAACAUGCUGAGGCAAAUCUUCUUCACUGCUUGCUUUAGAUCGGGAAAAUCGUAUCGAAUGUUGGAUCUGAGAUUGAGAGUAUUCAAAAAAAAAUAUCUCUGACCUUACAAGAAGUUUAGAAACCUAUGGCAUUAAAGCUGUGAAAGUCUGUGAAAGCUUGACUCGGGCCGUGAAUGUCAACAGACGUAAUCUUAUUCUCAUGUUAACAAAGAGGAUGUUGUUGGGUUGGAUGGUGAAUGAUGAAAGUUGUCUGGUUAUUUCUAGUUGCGGUAUGGGUGGUUUGAGGACACGAGUGUUACGAAUUACUUCCAAGGUUUUUCUUGGGCAUAUAUAUAUCCUGACGAUGCCGCGAAAUCAUGUUUGAAAAGUGGCAACAUGUUUCUUGAUAUUAAACCUAAUUUUGCAGUUCAAACAUAUCCAAAUUACAUCCUAAAUUGAUUUGAGUAUCUUUGAUAAUAAUUUUAAACACUAAGAAGGUUAUAGGGGUUUUAAUAUUUGAAAUAUAAAAAUUUUUAAAUGUUAGAAAAGUUAGAAAUAUUUUUUUAAAAUCAUUGUUAAAUGUCCUAUUUAAAAAAAACAUUUAUAAUCCAAAAAGUGUUUUAAAGAAAAACAAGGUAUUUAGUAAAAAUAUUUAAGAAAUAUUUAAAAAAAUUUUAAAAAUCAAUUAUAGUGUUGAAAAAACAUUUAUAAUAUUUUUUAGAUAAAGAUAUGUAAUUAUCCUUAAAACAUUAAGGUUAUGUUUGGUUCCCGGAAAAUACUAAGGAAAGAAAAAAAAUGCAAAGGAAAAUAAUUUUUUUAUGUUUGGUUGUCCUAUGAAAAAUAUCAAAGAAAAUCAAAUAUGAUUAAAACUAAUUAAAAACUUAUGUAUUUUUAAAUUAUUUAAUCUUUAUAUUGAUGAGUUAAAAUAAAUAAAAUGAGUUUAAAGUAACAAAAAAAAUAAUUUAUCAACUUUUAAUCUAUUUUUUUAUUUUCCUUCACUUUUUCUUUUCCUCUGCUUUUCCUUUGUAUUUUCUUUCCCUUGCAUUUUCCUUCAAAGUUUUUGGGAACCAAACAUAGCCUAAAGAGAAAAUAUUUCUGCUAAAAACACUUCAAAUGUACUCGAAUGAUCAUCAAUUGUUUAGCAAAUAAUUUCAUGAUUUUGAAAUGUUACAUGAAUUAUUUGACAAGGACAUAGCACCUACAACUGCAUUAAAAAGCUUGAAAAAUAAGGUCCCUCCAUUUAACAAUGGAAGAAAAUGUGAAAUCAUAUAUCAAAUUAAUAAGCUCAUGUCAUAAAACACAGGUAGUCAUGAAAAUUUUAAUAAAUUAUUUAGUUGAAAAGUCAAAUCUUCUUUGUGUACACUCAAAGGUCUUGCGUUCCAUGAUUCAAAUUUUAUUUAUUUUUAUCUUAAAAUAAGAAGUUGAAGUUAAAAUAAUUUAGGUCAUUGAUUAAUCUUCAAACAAUUAAUAAUAUUUGUCAUUUAAGUUUUUAGUAAAUGAUGUUUUUAAUUAAUAUUGUUAUAAUGGAUUUAUAUAAUCUUCAUAAUUGAAUUUAUUUAUUAAUUAAAUAAGAUUUCUUUGGAUCUCUCUUGUAAUACCAAAUAUGGAAAUAACUAAUAUUGAGAGUUUUGGAUCAGUGAUUGAUGUGAUACUUAUGUGAUUCGAAGCUAUAUUAAACAUAAAUUUUAAAAAACGACUUAAAAAUUAUAUUUUUAUAUUCCAAUGGCUCUCAAGAGACACGUGACAUGUUUUUUGCACAUAAUUAUUUCAAUUUAUCAUAUCUUUUUUUUUUAACUUGAAAUUAUGAUCCGUUUGAAACAUUAGAUUCAUGACUUCUUGAGUAUCAAAAUCAUAUGUAAUUUGGUGUGAUAAGAGGGUUUAUGGUUGGACAUUUGAAUCCAAACUUCCAAUAUUGAUCUCUUAUAGGAUAUUUUGCUUAUAAUUUUUCUUUAAAAACGACACAAAGAAAAACUGCAAAUGAGAGAGGAGAAAGCCAUAAACAUGGCUUGUCACAUUUAUUGCAACACAUUGCACACACGUACACACGGAUAAGAGUCCUGGGCCACCACGUGUCACCAAAUCAGAGACUCUGAGGGCAUUAUUUACUACAACAUAAACAAGAAAGCAAAAAACAUAGAAUUACAAACACACCCCUCUCUUCCAGCUGCUGGCCGUCACCUCCAUUCACAUGAUGACUUGUAGGCACGAGUCCCAAGGGUAGGUAGUUAGCGACUUAGCAGUGGCGGUGGUGGGGAGGGCCGUGCGGACCGGGAUGACAAUGAGGUCCCGGAGGAGGAGGGCAGUGGUGAGGAGGGCCGUGGUGAGGAGGGCCGUGGUGAGGAGGGCCAUGGUGAGGAGGGCCGUGGUGAGGAGGGCCGUGGUGAGGAGGGGGGCACAGCUGAGGGGGCGGCGGACCGUGGUGGUGGGGAGGUGGUGGACCAUGGUGCGGAGGGCAAUGGGGCGGGGGCGGAUGUCCGUGGUGGUGGUGGUGGUCGUGGUGCGGGUCGUGUGGUGGAUGAUGCAUCUUCUCUUCUUCUUCGAGGAAGUUGUGUU